rnacentral:lncRNA from 1 species
CUGCAGCGCAUCUGGAUCGGUCAUCGUCUAUUCGUCUAAUCAAGCUAGCUAGCUUGACGCUGCAGAAAAGAAGGCAAGGAGGCAGCAGCCGGGAAGGAACGGGCUGGAUCAAAUUCCUGAGCAGCCGGCAUUUCGACCUAGAAGCCCAACACGGAGCCCGCAUGGUGAGCACGGCCCACCCAAGAGUCCGGGCUCCCCUCACUUGGGCCUACGCGGGGUCACCGAAAUCCGAAGUCGUCCGGCAGGAAUUUGUUUGGACUCGUCCAACGGUCACUUGCCGGUCUGUCGCGCAGGCUCGCUCGCAGUCGCAGAGUCGUAGCUCGCACGCCUGACAGGCCGUGCCGUUGUGCAUUCAAAUUCCGCACCGACGCGCCGGGCUGUACAGCGACCCGCCGCUCCUUCACGAACUCCACGGUCUACCCCACUUCAUGCGGGGCCAGCGCGCCGCGUAACCGUCCUGUCAGUGACUGAUGGGCAUCACUUUCCAGUAGAUCAGUCGUUGUUUUUUAAUUUUGCGACGGAUAUUCGCGCAUUUAAUUCUACGAGUAUAAAACCGACUAACCGUAGACCUGCUAGAGCCGUAGUAGUCCGUAGAGAGUCCGUCGGUGGAGUGGAGGCUCGUAGUACGACCGAGCCGAGCAACAUGGUCCCACAGGUCGCUGGUCGAUCAGCUUGGCUUUGACAGCUGCUGGAUAUAAGAUUUUUUUAUAGUCUUUUUACAGCCUACUUAGGCCCUGUUUAGUUUCCUACCUAAAAUUUUUUCAUCCAUCCCAUCGAAUCUUUAGACACAUGCAUGGAACAUUAAAUGUAGAUAAAAAAAUAAACUAAUUACACAGUUUAGUUAAGAAUCGCGAGACGAAUCUUUUAAGCCUAGUUACUCCAUGAUUAGCCUUAAUUGCUACAGUAACCCACAUAUGCUAAUGACAGAUUAAUUAUGCUUAAUAAAUUUGUAUUGCAGUUUCCUGACGAGCUAUGUAAUUUGUUUUUUUAUUAGUUUCUAAAAACCUCUCCCGACAUCCUUCCGACACAUCCGAUGUGAUACCCAAAAAAUUUUCGUUUCCCAUCUAAACAGGCCCUUAUAUAAUACUCACAGAUUUUCUUGGUUUUUGAGUAGUUAAUAUAUGACCCAUAUGUCUCACAGACUUUUUUGGUUUUUGUGUCUGAGCCGGCUGUAAGUUUACAGCCCGCUUUUACUUUCUCUCCUCCACCACAGCAUUUAGUAGGCUUACAUCCUACUGUAAUACUACUCGCUCUGACGCGAGCGACGCCGACGAGAGGAGAGGAGAGGAGACAGGAUCCCCGACCCGCUCCGCAUGCCGGGGCAAGGGCUGGUCCUCGUCUCCUCGUCGGCCGGGCUGGUCACCGGUGUGGUGUGGGGCCAGCCGGCAGCCGCCCCUCCCUCCCGCAGCCCCAGGGGGUUUGAAUACUGUACGUGGGAGGCGAGGCAAAGGCAGCGUCGGGUCGGGCUCCUUUUUUUUUUGUGACUCUUUUCGCUUUCUUUCGGGGGGAAUAAAACGCUCCCCCAGAUUUUGAACGUUGAAGCUCUUGACUCGAGCGCACCAAAAAUGAACGCUUUUCGCGUAAAGCUAAAGCUUACACGACGACUACACGACUAGUAUUACUACUAGUAGUAGUAAAGAAAUUUGAAAUAUUCCGCUCUUUCGCGUGUACAACAAAUGGAGACCCGAGUAGAGCAUGGGCCGGGCGUACCUACCGUGUCCUCUCGAUACGUGACCGUGUCGUGAAGUGCUGCACAGGGCGCGUUGAUUAGAUCCUGUAAACACGAGGGCAAGCAAUCUAUGGGUAAUCACGGCAAGGAAGGAACAGUGGCAGCACCGGCGGGUGCAGAGCUGUCAGCUCGUCCUGGCCCCUGGCCGGCCUGGCCUCCUCCGGAGGGCAACUUGCGGCAAGUGACCUUCUUGACCGGCCCUUCGAGCCGUCUCUCUCCCCCCUCCCUGUCCUGCGGCCUCGCAUUUACACCGCGCCUCCCUAGGCCAGCGGUAACAGCAGGUCGCACAGCCAGCCAGGCGGCAGCCAGCUGCGAGCGGCGAGUUCUUUAAGGAGGCGGCAGGCCGGUGCCGGUGCCUUUGCCUUGGCGUGGAGUGGAGUGGCCUGCCUCCCAUAGGCUACAGCCUUCCCGGAGAAGACAAGCAAAGCGAGCGCCGCACCAUUCCGUUCUUGUCCGUUGUUCCUGCUCCCUUGCUGCUGCUGCUUCUCGGAGCCACUAGUUGCUGCCGUGCUGUGCUGCCUCUUCGUACUGUGAGUGAGAGUGUGAGGGCGGAGGGCCGCAGCCUGAGCGGGAGAAGAAGAAGAAGAAGAAGAAGAAGAAGACCGCGGCGGGAGAGAGAUGAGCGUGACCAAGUUCAUCAAGUGCGUCACAGUCGGGGACGGCGCCGUGGGCAAGACCUGCAUGCUCAUCUGCUACACCAGCAACAAGUUCCCCACGGUACGCCGACGCUUUCCUUCGCCGCGCCCAUCUCGUCGGCCUCGACCUUCAUGACCAGCCAUGAGAUUUCUGCUCGAUUUGGUUUCCCAUCCGUUUGGCUCGCUCGUUUCUUCUCACCUUCCAGUACAGAAAUGCUACGCAUUUUUUUUUUUUACAGUUUGGUUUUUAAUCCAAGCUACUCGUAGUAGUUGUUCCAUUGAUGCUUUCCAGCAUUAGCAGUAGUUAGGCAUUUACUCACUCACCAGUCACCAUCUGCUCCUGUCCGGCUGUCCCUUUCCUGGGAUGGAAGGGAAUGGGGAUCGUCAGCUCGCGAGGCGCAUUUCGUUCUCCGGUUGCUGAAAACCUGAAACUGACGGCGCCUCUGUUCGUGGUUCCUGACAGGAUUACAUCCCCACGGUGUUCGAUAACUUCAGCGCCAACGUCUCCGUGGAUGGCAACAUCGUCAACCUGGGCCUCUGGGACACUGCGGGUACUGCUGCUUCUUCCCUUUCUAAUGGUAAAUUGUUUACACGCGCACAGAAUCUGAAAGUGUUCCCUUCCUUCUCUGUUUCGUUCAGGGCAAGAGGACUACAGCAGGCUGCGGCCACUGAGCUACAGGGGCGCAGAUGUGUUCGUGCUGGCUUUCUCCCUCAUCAGCAGGGCCAGCUAUGAGAAUGUUCUUAAGAAGGUAUGGUGAUAGGAUCAAAAUGUGUGCUUGUCUUGCCUGGCGGGCAGUGUGUUUCUAAUUGUAGAUAGAGAACCCAAGUUGAAUUGUUUGUAGUGCCAGUGUCUGUGAAGGGAGAGGAUCCAGUCAUGAAAACAUCAAAAGUUCCAGUGUACAUUUCAGAUAUCUAAAUCUGACACAUUAUCAUAGCUGCAGUGGAGUUUUUUUCCCCUUUCUUGGGCCACCUUUGGCCAAUAUGCCUAGCAGUUUCUGCCUUUCAGAAUGUGGUUAUGAUGGCUGGAGCAUUAUGAAAUGAUCAUUCUAUUUCUGAACAAACAGUGGAUGCCAGAGCUUCGCAGAUUUGCACCCAACGUUCCGGUUGUUCUUGUUGGGACCAAGUUAGGUGAGGAAGUGUGCUGAACGUGACCUUAAUUCAUGGACUUUAAUGCCACAUAUUCGUCUGCGUGAUUGUUCUUCCAAGAUCCAAUUCCAAUAGCUAAUUAAGGCAUUUGGUUGGGCUGUCCAGAUCUCCGUGACCACAGAGCCUACCUUGCUGACCAUCCUGGAGCUUCGACAAUCACAACGGCACAGGUUCGCUGAAUGCCACCAGCAGAUAGUUGUUAGAAGUGCGAUACAAUUUCUCUUAAUUCCUCUUCCUCUUGGUAUGCAGGGUGAAGAGCUGAGGAAGCAGAUUGGUGCUGCAGCUUACAUCGAGUGCAGUUCCAAAACCCAGCAGGUAGUCAUGACCCAUGUGGAAUGAUUUUGAUUGGUUAUGUCCUGUUUCAAAUACGGUUAGCUGUUUGGCAAUUAAAAUUAGACAUGUAUGGAUUGUUGGUAAUAGACAAUUUUACUGACUUUUUGUCUGAUUAUGUGGCCACACUAGAAUGUCAAGUCUGUCUUCGAUACAGCCAUUAAAGUGGUCCUUCAACCCCCACGGAGAAGGGAGGCAAUGCCUGCCAGGAAGAAAAACAGGCGUGGCUCCGGAUGCUCUAUAAUGUAAGCUUCAUCUUUCCACCGUAUACUAAUUGGUAAUGUAAGCUUCAUCUUUCCACCGUAUACUAAUUGGUCAUAUGAUGGUAAUAGUAGUCCGCUAAUAGUGAUUACAAUCCAGUGAAAUAUCCAUUUAUCAGAAAACCCAGCAUAUACCUACUAUUAUGUCGAGAAGGCGUCUGGUUCAUCUACUUCUGUUCAAACUUAAAACAAAACAUUUGGAACAACUUUUGUUUUAAAAGAUGAUUUACUGAUGUGACCUUUUUUGUGUCUUGCCCGCAGGAACCUUAUGUGUGGCAGCACAUGUGCUGCUUAGGAGUCUUAGAACACUGAACUGGAAGGAGGUGAAGGCGUGAUGCAUGGUGUGUAUGUUGUGCCAAACUGGCAAGUUAAUUUGCUAUAGAAUGGGACCGCAUGGAUGACUGCUGCUUUUGUUUUCCUUAGCUCAUCUGCUGUAUGCUUGGGUUUUUUAGGCGUAGUGCGUCAGGCUCUUCAAGUACUGACUUUUACCAGACUGCUGUGUUAUGUAAGAAGUUUGCUAGACGAGGAUUGCUGUAACUGUAAUAUGUUCUCCGAGAGGGAUGUGGUAUAACUAAGAUACAAGUAAGCUUGAGCGUGUUCUGCACUGUGAAUGGGCGGGGCUAUAUUGUGUUGCUUUGCUAAAUAUUCUGUGAAGCUAGAUGAGGUAAAUCGUAUGUUCACGAUCCAUUUAGGCGUAUGGUAACGUCAUGGCUGCGUCGGUUUGGUCCAAGCUUGGAAUUUCAAUUCCUCAAAACACUCCAGCGAGCAAACAAACAACGCAGUUCAGACCCUGGAGUCAAGCCUGCUCUGAUUGUGAAAGGGAUCUUUGACAGUGACAUUGUUUAACGGCACAUUACAAUCAGGCUCGCAGCUAUGUAAUUUAUUCCCAUCCUCAGCGUUUUCAUCAUCCGAUAGAGGUGCAACUUGCCUUUCGCCGGCUCAUUUGCUCAACAAGUCCCUCAGCUUUUCGGUGGCUGACCUCAGUUCGGCAGCGAUGCCUACUUCAUUGGCCGAGUGCCCUGCAUCCGGUACCACCUGCAACAUAGGCGGUCAAAUUAUCGAUGUUGAGGCACAAUUCUAAAAAACUGGUGAAUUUACCAAGGUCCAUUCUGAAUAUUGCCUAAGCGUUACAUAAGUUGAACCAUGACUUUCAUAAAGGAAGAUAUGUCAUUUCUACCAAAAAAAUGAUUGUUUGCAACCAUCUAAGCAAAAUAUCGAGUGACCCAUAUGCGGGUUCAAAGGCCAAACCACUAAUCAACCACUUGCAUCCCUAAUAGCAUGCUGUAUCUUGUCAAAGCAAGCCAAACAUGUGAGGCAUGAAUAGUCAUGGCAAAUCUGAGUCAAAUAGACAUGUCUAUAAGACUAUAACUAAGUGCUACACACUACGUACGAAACACACCAUGUCUUCCUGCUUCAGUUUGGUAGCCAUAUAUUACCAAAAAUCUUAUAUAUGACUUAAAAAGAUUGUCAUUGCUUGAUGAUGCCUUAUGUCAAUGAUGGGAAAACAAUUGAUGACAGUAUGACACCAACUUCCGCCACUGGUUCAUUCAGAAACCAAGCUCUUAAAAAAACUAUUUUGGUGCUUCAAUAUAAUAAUCCUAUUAAAUCGCUGUUCUUACAUGAAUAUCGUAUAUAGUAUAGUUGGAGGAAUGACUGGAGGACCAUUUACCUUGAAUUCAGCUUCAGGCCAAGCCUUAUGAAGAUCCCAAGCCGACAUCAUAGGGCAACAAACAUCAUAACGGCCCUGCAACAUAAAGUGUUCAGGCACAAGCACACUUAUAUUUUACCAAAUUUAUAUCUAGCAAGGAUUUGAGUUCCAAAUUAUAUCUACCAAGACAAUAACCAAAAAAAAAACUUGGCCAGAUGUUCAAUGAUAACUAAAGGUAUACAGGCAUGACAAGCUAAAGGCAAUGCACAACUUGAUUUGUGAAAUAUGAUAUCUACUCCCUUCAUUCCAAAUUAUAAGACGUUUGGGCUUCUAGCAGACACACAUGGACAUUAUGAAAACAGCAAAUCUCAUUGAUAAGCAUACCUGUACAAUAAAAGCUUUAAUAUGUCGGAUCUUGUCAACAUUGUCCAAUAGGAAUGAGUCGGAGGGUAAAAAACCCUUAUUCACAAAAUAGUGAUUUUCAAUCCUUGCAAAUGCCUAAAAAAACAUUGAACCGUGCAUCAGCAAAUAUAAGAGAAUAUGUACUUUGACCACAUAAUAAAUCAUAAAAGUAUCGACUAAAACAUGUCAUAAAAAUAUGUUGCUCUUUGUAGCUUUAGGCUUGUUCUCUGUGGAAAGUGAUUCUACAAGAGAAGUGAUUCUAUUGUUGACAGUGUUUCUCUAGCCUGCUAGUUCAUUUCAGAAAUCCCUUAAUGAAAUCAGCAAAGAAUCACUUCUCUGCAAAACAAACAGUUUAGCGGAUUCAGCCUGGAAGCUGCUCUAGGACUCAAUGCAGAUUUCUACAGCCAUCCGUGGCAGCAGUUUAUUAGCACUAGGGAGUAGGUUUUCCAAAUUGUGCUUAUACAUGAUUGCUUAUUGUUGAUAUUUUAAGUCCAGAGAAAUAUUGAGAAUAUAAAGAAUUCAAGAAAAAAAAACACUCCAAGUCCCUUAGAAGGCAUUAUUCUUUCGAUUUCUGUACACAGCUAAAAUCAGAAUGAAAACAAGAAAUAUAUAUAUAUAUAUAGCUAAGUUGGGGAAACAAAAUAAAUUGAAAUAGUGCUAGUGUUACAAAGAAAAGUACAGAUGCUUGUGUGAGGACUUGCCAGUGAAAACUUGUCAUCUUCUCCUCUUUUAAUGUUAUCAUUGUUUUGGAUAAGAUGGGCAGUCAUCAUCUCCCACAUCGUCCAGCGCUUAGCAGCUUCAACCUAAUUGGGAAAAAGGGGAAAUGUCUGUUUACUAAAAUAAUAAGUGCGAGAUCAUCAGAAUCUUGCCUUUUAAGUAAUGGUACAGAAAAAAAGCUAUAAGAAGGCACAAGAAAUAUAUCAUAAUGUAUGUGGAGCUACCUGAACAAUAGGAUCAGAUGAAGUUAACCUUUUGUUAUACGCAUCUAUGAAACAAUUCCUUUCAUCCUCGGGAAUAAAAUCUCUAAAUGGUUCCCAUGCUGCAGAUUUAAAACUAAAGUUGUUAAAGUAAUAAAAAAAUGGUACAUAGGUGCUUUUUCUUUCAUAAAACCAGAAAGUAAAAUGAUUUUAAUAGAGAAAAAUAGAAUGCGUUGCAUUAACAAUAUGUCAUUUAAAUUCAACUGUAAUUACUGAAACAGAUUUAACAUAGUUAAUAUAAGUUGCCAGUACCAUUAUGGAACAUUGACGAGAUACUUGCUAAAGUUUAAGGAAGUUUUUUUCGGUUAAUAGAACAAAAAAAAAUACAAACCAUCUGGGAAAAUGGCUGCUGCACCACCCUCGUAGAACCAAUCAAGCUCCUUUUUCCUAAGCAUGAAAAUUCCUCUCAGAACAAGGCCAGUGACCUAGUGAGCAUCCAGGGCGUGUUAGUGAGAUCUACAGCAUGGCUUUAAUUGCUAUAAGAGCUUCAUGUUCAAUUACAGAAUACAUCAGAGUAUCAGAAAAAAAGAAACAUCACCUUAUCAGGGUGCUCCUGGCUGUAGGCAAGUGCCAAGGUGCUUCCCCAUGAACCACCAAACACCUGCAUUGUCCGGCAGCACUGAGUCCCAGCACUGAAGAGUGAGUAAUCAAUGUUAAUAAAAAAAAGAAGAAGAUAAUUGCCUGCCAUUCCGGGAUGUCAAGAUGCUCCCUGAGCUUCUCAAUGUCAGCUACCAAGUCCCAAGUAGUGUUCUGCUCUAAACAGGCAUGGGGAGUGCUUCUGCCUGCACCCCUCUGCAAUCACACCAUAACACAGGUCAGGAAUAACAGACAACCUCCUUUCUGGCUACGAAUAUGAUUAAAAAUGACACGAGUCACCCAAGAUGACCUGGUCAAACAGCACGAUUCUGUAGAACUCCGGGUCAAAGAACCUCCUGUUGCCGGGCGACGUGCCGGCUCCGGGACCUCCGUGGAGAAACACCACCGGCUGCAAAAUCGACGGGAUGAGAAGCUCAUCUCAUAAGGACAGAGCAUAUAUAUACAAUACUAGGAAAUUCUUCCAGAGUGUGCUGGAUUAUCAAAACUCUCCGGUAUAUCAAAUCUAACACGCAGAGAGAGAGAGGGAUUAGACGCCCACAUGGCGUGAACUGGGUCAUAAGAACUCUCCGAUAUAUCAAAUCGGACACACAGAGAGAGGAAUUGGAGGCUCACAUGGCCCUGGGGGUUGCCGGACUGCUCGUAGUAGAUGGUGUGGACAUCGGAGACCUUGAGGAACCCGGAGUCGUAGGGCUCGACCAGCGCGUACAGGCCCCUCGACAGCGGCUCCGACGACGAGCCCAUCUGCGCGGCGGCGGCCGGGACGGGGAGGCUCGCGCGGCAGCGGCGGCGGCGCGUGCCUUUCGCCUGUACGCAACCCAGCAGACCCGCUCUCCCUGCAGAGGCGGCGCCACAGAAGAAAAACCGCUGUCACGACUCAGCAAAGCAAACCCCAUGGCGACGGGUGGGUAGAUAAGAUGAGGGCCGAGAUCGCGGGGGCCGAUGCGAUGACGAUGAGGCGGUUACCUGAUGAGCGUGGGCGGGGGUGGGGCUGGGGCUGGGGCGGCGGGCGCGAGAGGCGUGGCGGAGCUGGGCAAUGGACACGGAGGUGGGGGAGGGGACUGAUCAUUUGAGUGCGGUCGGGACUCGGGACGGGAGGGGUUUGUUGGGUUGGCAGGCAGUACGACUGGUAUACACCGCCGGUGGUGGUUUUGCUUUUGCAGUUCUCACUCACGACUUCACGAGGGGAGCGGGGUGAGUCAGGCGGAUGGAUCCUGGUGGCGCGGGCCCGGCCGGCUGCGCCGCGGCGGCGAGGGUGUCCCUAGUGCCAACUGCCAAGUGCCAGACGGGUGAAUCUGGAUCUGGACGGAUCUGGCUGUUGGUUCCAGACGGGUGGAGGUGCGGACGAGGGCAUGGAUGGCUGCUGGAGCUGGAUCCGCUCCGCACCGCAGCCGGCCGUCGUGGACGUACCCGUGUCGGUAUUCCGUGAUGCGAUUGCCGGAGGAACCGGUUUUGGACUGCAAGUACCUUUUUUUUUUUCUUUUGCGAGGUUCUCAAAUUGUAAUAGUCUGGUCUUCUUCAGUUCGCGAAAAUUUUUGGAUUUCGUUACUAUAAUACUUUCGUUUUUAUUUUAUAAUUAUUAUUCAAUUAUAGACUAAUUAGGUUUAAAAUAUUUGUCUCGCAAAUUACUGGUAAACUAUGCAAUUAUUUAUCUUUUUUAUCUAUAUUUAAUGUUUUAUGUGCCGCAAGAUUCGAUGGAACGGGGAAUCUUAAAAAAUUUUGGGAACGAAACAAGGCCUCUCUGUGUGUUGUAUUAUAAAUGUUUGGAUUUUUCUACCUACAUGAAUUUUGUAUUAGUAUAUAGAGAAAAUGUAGCAAAAUCUAUGUAGAAAAAUUAAAACAACCUACGAUUUGGAACUAGAGUAACAAGGCUCACAACCUCUUGCAACAGUUUUACAUGUUAAGCUCAGUAAAACAUGCUCUUACAAUGGAUUGAUGUAGGAUGAAGCUAGUUGUUCUCCUAGCUUCAACUUUCUCUACGAGCCCUGUGGGGAUUCUGUGAGAAACUGUUUUAAGAAACUUUACAUAUAGAGUUAUUUUGUUAAACGGUUAAUCAAAACAGUUUCACUUCUAUUAGUAGAGCUGCUCGUAAACCUAAAGCAACAAUAUUGUUUCACUAGUGAAACUGACAGUGACACCUUUAUCUGGAAGUCGUUUGCGCCACCGAGAGUCCAAAUGUUUAUGUGGCUGCUUUCUCAAAACAGGUUGCAGUCUCGCUCUCUACUGACGCUCAAGAAGAUUGUAUCGGAUCCGACCUGUGAAGUCUGUGGGCUGCAUGAAGAAACGCAAUCCCACGUCUUCUAUCACUGUGACAUGGCAACUCAGUUAUGGAGCCGUCUGGCGAUGGACGUUCCAUCUGAUCCAAGCAACCUCCUCUCUUGGAACAGGCCAGCCUCGGUCGCCCAAGAAGGAUUCUCCUCCUUCGUGGCUCUUUGUCACUAGCAGCUGUGAAAAGCUAGGAAUGAGAAGGUAUUCAGACAGUGCACCACUGGAGUGCAGCAAUUACUUCGACAAUGCUCUGCAGUUUCGGUUCAGUGGGAGGCCAGACUCCCACCAUCCAAGAGGCAUGUUGUUCGGGCCUGGGAACAGCUCUUCAAAGCGGCGAGACAAGGAGAAGGCUGAGUAUCCACGAGUAGUUUUCUUCCAACCCUAAAUUCUUCCACUGUAUGGAAUCUAUCUGAAAUUCAUCUAUCUGAUGAAUAUGUAAGAACUUGUUUCAAACUAGACCAUUGAGGGCCAAUACGAAAUACAUAAUCAGGUGGGAAACGACUCCCCCCGUUGACAGUCAAAAAAAAACUAGUGAAAUUGAACUGUGCUAAUUGAGACCUUAGUGGACAUUUUUCCAUCUUUUCUUAUGAUGAAGAGAAGUUGUAAGAAAAUAGGCUAAACAACUAGAAAGCUGAUAGCCUAGUAGUCUUUUUUAUUGACGAUGUUUUAACUAGCGAUAGCAACGGCCGACCUACAGACGGGUACCUCGUUAGAUAUACGAUAGCGGAGGACCACCGAUGGGAGGAUCCAUUACAAGGUCAUUAUUAUCGACUAAUUGUGAUGGGGAUGAUGCGAUUUAGGUGUCAUUCAACGGUGGUUUCUUUUCCUUUUGAAAUAGUAGAGUUUCUUCUUUUUUUUUUUGACUUUUCAAACCACGCCUACACUCGACCGUGAUCAUACAAGUUACUCCCUCCGUUCCAAAUUGUAAAUCAUUCCAAGAAUCUUAGAGAGUCAAAAUAUUUUCACGUUUGACCAAAAUUAUAGAGAAAAAUACUAAAAUUUGUAACGUAAAGUGAAUAUACUAUGAAAAUAUAAUUAAGAAAGAAUCUAAUGAUACUUAGUUAAUAAUAUAGUAAUUAUUAUUUUAUAAUAUAAAUUUGGUCAAACUUAAAAAAAUUUUGACUCUCCAAAAUUGUUGAAAUGACUUACAAUUUGGUAUAGAGGGAGUAGAAUUUAGAAUAACUCACGUCUUGAUCGUGCUUAUAUGAGUUGAAGCAAUUCACAUGUAACGAUGAUACAGAUCCUGUUUUCAAUAUGUAUUGUGUUCCGUUGCAAGGCAAAAAGCAUUUUUGCUAGUCAAAAGAAAAAUAUGAAAGUUACAAACAACUCAGUAAAAUUUAUAAGGCUUCAAGAUAACAAAAUUACAGCAAAGUCCUAGUUGGGUCGAUAGUCAUAGUCACUCGCUUCGGAUAAUAUCUCUCAAUUCUGGCAUUCGAAUGUCAAAAGGCCUUAAACCUUACCAUGCGAUGAAUUAGAAAAAGGCCCAAACAGCCAAUAUAGGCCUAAAUCAAGCCCAAGAGCAACCUGGGCCUUACUAAAGCCUAAACCCACGACCCUAAGCCUAAUCGACAACUUUAGCCCACCUCAGGAAUCAGGAUGGCAUUACAUGAUUAGCAUAUUAUAGGUGGCAUACUUUAUGAACCCGGCGGCGAUAAAAUCAGCAGCCGUGCUUGGGCCGUGUUUACUUUUUGAACGAAAAAAUUUUACGACACUACAGUACUUUCGUUUGUUUAUAGUAAUUAUUGUUCAACCAAAAACUAACUAGGCUCCAAAUAUUUAUCUCGUAAAUUCCGACUAAAUUGUACAAUUAGUUUUUAUUUUAUUUAUAUUAUACUUCAUGCAUGCGUCUAAAAAUUUAAUGUAACAAAAACUCUUAAAAGAUUUUAAGUUUUGGGUAGAAGUAAACAAUUACUUAGUGCGGAGUCUCCUCCGAUCCUGCUGGUUUUGGCGGCGCACGAAGGCACCAACCGCCAACGUCGCUUCGGCGCUUCCGGGCCGUGUCGCCGGCUGAAACAGUGAAACCGCGGAAACCCCCUGCCGGAAGCCGAAGCGAGAAAAUACUCCCCCGUCAGAACAGACCCCGUCGGCACACUCCCCCGCGGUCGCUGGCCGGUGCCAGUUCGUGGCUCCAAGCCGCCCGGAAAUCUUCCGCCGACGCCGACGUGCAACGGCCUGGCACCCGGCUGCGCCGCCCAGAAUGCUCCGCGUAUGUCGGCUCCACCGCCGGGGCGCCACCUGUGUCCGCGUGGCGCGUAGCAAGUUGCGGUCGUUGCGCCCGCAACGUUUUUUCUUUCUCCUUUCAUUCAAAACAACUUCCGUACUCGCUUUCUUUGGCUCUUUGCUCUUUUGCAUUUGAACCCCCCGAAAUCAUAGUACUAUACGCGUGCACAUCAAUACUGUCCGCCUAUUUUCCCGAUGGGUUCAUACUGCUAUAUAACAAGUUAUGUAAAAGAGUUAGUAUGAAUUAAGUAUAAAAUCAGCACGGGGUUCCAAUUUAAAAUUUGAAUAAAAGUUAAAUCACUUCCGAAAAAUCUAGGGCCGUUGUUUUAUCAUGCAUGGAUCCUCUUAUAAUCAAGAUUCCUUACAAACUUUUUAAUGAUCAAAGUUUUUAAAGUUUGAAUCUUAAUUGCGUUUUGAAAAUGGACAGGAGGGAGUUCUAUGCAAACCGUGUAACUGUGUAUGGUUGCACACUUGCAGAUACAACCUCUGUAGUUGCGUGUAUCAAAUUCUGGGCAGAGUUUGACUCGAGCAGGGCAGGACGGCGGACGGCAGGUCACAGCCAGCGCAGAAGAGCAAAUAAACAGGAAGUAUCCAGGGAGCCGUUAGCUGUUCGUUCCCCCUCCAAUGCCGGCCACCCAUCACCUUCCCCUCCGCCCGCCCCCGACCCGUGCCCUCACCACCACCACCACCUAAUCGGCUAAUCCGCCUUCGGCCUUCCUCUCCGUUUCUCCGCGCGCCCGGCCUCCUUCGCCGCCCGAUGGCCGCCACCCCGCCGUCGUCGCGGGACCCGUCGCCGCAGCCCCGGCGGCCGGCCUCCUCCGCGGGGCCCGCCACCACCAAGCGCGGGGGCCUCCUGCUCGGCCGCUACGAGCUGGGCCGCCUGCUCGGCCACGGCACCUUCGCCAAGGUCUACCACGCCCGCCACGCCGACACCGGCGAGACCGUCGCCAUCAAGGUGCUCGACAAGGAGAAGGCCCUCCGCAACGGCCUCGUCCCGCACAUCAAGCGCGAGAUCGCCAUCCUCCGCCGCGUGCGCCACCCAAACAUCGUCCGCCUCUUCGAGGUCAUGGCCACCAAGUCCAAGAUCUACUUCGUCAUGGAGUUCGUCCGCGGCGGGGAGCUCUUCGCGCGCGUCGCCAAGGGCCGCCUCAAGGAGGACACCGCGCGGAGGUACUUCCAGCAGCUCAUCUCCGCCGUCGGCUUCUGCCACGCCCGGGGCGUCUUCCACCGGGACCUCAAGCCCGAGAACCUCCUCGUCGACCAGCGCGGCGACCUCAAGGUCUCCGAUUUCGGCCUCUCGGCGGUCGCUGAUCAGUUCCACCCUGAUGGCCUCCUCCACACAUUCUGUGGCACGCCCUCCUACGUCGCCCCGGAGGUGCUCGCGCGCCGCGGCUAUGACGGCGCCAAGGCGGACAUAUGGUCCUGCGGUGUCAUCCUGUUCGUGCUCAUGGCUGGCUACCUUCCUUUCCAUGACCAGAACCUCAUGGCGAUGUACCGUAAGAUUUACAGGGGGGAAUUCCGGUGUCCGAGAUGGUUUUCCAAGGACCUUAGCAGUCUAUUGAAUCGGCUUCUUGACACGAACCCAGAGACCAGGAUCACCGUGGCUCAGAUAAUGGAGAGCAGGUGGUUUCAGAAAGGGUUCCGACCGGUCAGGUUCUACGUCGAGGAUGAUCAAGUCCACAGCUUGGAAGACAGUGAGAAUGAGGUGCCGGAACUGGGGCCUAGUGAGCCUCCACCUCCACCUCCCCUGCCGCCGCCACCACAGAAAGAGGACGACGGUGAUGAUUCUGGUUGGGAAUCAGACUCGUCUGUAGCAUCCUGCCCAGCCACAUUGUCAUCAGAGGAGAGGAGACGGCCUGUUGGAUCUCUCCCACGGCCGGUAAGUCUAAAUGCGUUUGAUAUCAUAUCGUUCUCAAGGGGAUUCAAUUUGUCGGGGUUGUUUGAGGAGCGAGGCAGUGAAGUGAGAUUUGUCUCAGCACAUCCCAUGCAAACGAUUGUAACAAAAUUGGAGGAGAUUGCGAAGGUGAAGAGCUUUGCAGUUCGACGGAAGGACUGGCGGGUGAGCCUGGAAGGCACGAGAGAAAGUGAAAAGGGUCCAUUGACAAUUGGGGCUGAAGUAUUUGAGCUCACACCAAGCCUUGUGGUGGUGGAGGUGAGGAUGAAAGCAGGGGACAGGGAAGAAUAUGAGGAUUUUUGUGAGAAGGAGUUGAAACCUGGGAUGCAGCACCUCGUGCACCAUACAGCCUCGGUUCCAGAUAUACCUUCUGACACUGAGUAGCUUAAAAGGUAGUGUUCUCUUGAUUGGAAGGAAUAUGAAAAAAGAAAUUGGAUUGAAAGGAUGCACUUUUCUGUUUCAGUGUAAGCAAUCUGUGCAGGAAAAUGUUAUUCAUAGAUUUCCUUAGUUAUUUCUUUUUGUUAAUAUUCUUUCCGCAAUCAAAGAUGUUUUGCGAUAGUAGUUGUGUGCCAAUAUCAAUCAUCAAUCUUUUUAGUUGUAAGUAUAAAAGUUGUGGCCAUUUCACUACAGAAUUAUCAAAGCUAUAACUCUAAUGUUAUUAGCCAUGUAACUGUGCUACAAUUAUGUACAUUCAUUCUUGUACAAAUGUCAUCUGUAAAUUUUUUGAAGAAGGAAUAUUGGCCUCGGUGUGUACAAAAGAAGAGUGUAACUUUUGUAUAUUCAAUCUUUUUUUUGGGUGGGUUCAUAAACUCAGGAAUCACAGUAUUAGAAUUAAAGUGGUCAUUGGUUCCCUGCUGUCCAGCUUCACCACUUCGUUAAUUGGAAAACAUUCUAUUGGAUACAACUGAAAUAAAAUGGUAGGUGCCUAAAAGUGUAAAUUCUCACAUUCAGUGUUUUGCUUAUUUUAUGGUGUGUAACUGUGUACAAGGUUAAAUAGUAUAGCUUGUAUAUCUGGUGGUCUUUUCGGGCUUAUGGAACAAGAGUCCCUGUAGAAUUAGAUUAGCAAUUAUUUUGUUGCUAUUGGGCUUAACUAAUUCACUUACUCAUAACAUUCUGUUUGAGUUUGAUCCAAAUUUAAUAGGAGAUGGCUAAUAGUAAGAACAACUCAAACCUGUAGCCUGUAGGACGAGUAAAUGAUGGUGGAAAAGCUGUGUGGAGACUGCGGAAACAAUCAUUUACCAUAUUUCUAAUCAACUUUGUUUACUGAUUUUUUAUUGAAUGCAAAAUUGUUCGGUUUCUUUCUUCUCAUCGAAGCUUAUGUUGUUCUAAGCGAAGUUCAAUUAGAAAACAAUGUUUCCAGAUGGUUGGGUCUUCUUUUCUUGCAUGGUUAUAAACCUUGGAUUCCUUUUCAUUUGUGAUUUGGUUUGCAGAGGCAAGAAGAAGAGUUAUAGUAAGUGAUCUAGCAAAACGUUUUUCCUAUUUUGGUGGAGGAAUUGUUGUGCUAAGUAUCUAGUUUGUGGUUGGUCGUCAUGCACCAUUAGCACUGUGCACCAUGUUGUAAGCUUUGAGGAUCCCCCCUUCUUGCUACAUGUAAAUAGAAUUAGGGCUUGACAUGUUUUGCUAACCUAACUAAAUGGGAUGGCCAGAUGGGUGCCUCGGCCUAAUUUUGGUGAUGACACAAAAUUGAUAAUCAGGUAGCUGAUAUUUUGCAGUGCUUGUCUUUAAAAUUAUUCUUUGCAAUUUAACUAUAUACAUCACCAGAGUAAUUGUGGAGGAUAAAUAUUUUGGUCCAUUCAUGUCAUGUGGUGAAAAAUAGUUGGUAUACUUAAUUUGUAGCUGUCAGGCUAUGAAUUUGUUUUCACCUCAUUUAGAGUCAUCCAUGACUAAGAAGUAUGCUCACCACUACUUGUAAAUAGAAUUAGGGCUUGACAUGUUUUGCUAAUCUUACUAAAUGGGAUGGCUAGAUGGGUGCCUCGGCCUAAUUUUGGUGAUGACGCGAAAUUGAUAAUCAGGUAGCUCAUAUUUUGCAGUGUUUGUCUUUAAAACUAUUCUUUGAAACUUAACUAUAUACAUCAGUCACCAGAGUAAUUGUGGAGGAUAAAUAUUCUGGUCCAUUCAUGUCAUGUGGUGAAAAAUAGUUGGUAUACUUAAUUUUUAGUUGUCAGGCUAUGAAUUUGUUUUCCACCUCAUUUAGAGUCAUCCAUGACUAAGAUGUAUGCUCAAGGAAUUUCUUCUUUUUACAUAUAAAGGGUCAAUAUUUAGUAAAGUCACUUCAAUAAUGAAAAAAAAACAUAGCACAUUGCGUGCAAAGGAGAACUUUAAUAAAGUCACUUCAUAAAAAAAUAUAGUUCAUUGAGUGGAAUCAAAUAAUUGUGAUAGCGAAAUAUACCUAGAAAAAUAAUGAAUAAGAAACAAUUAAAAUUUAAAGCCAAAACGAAUGUGUGUAGAAAAUAUGGUGUUUUGAUACAUUCUGUCACAAUCGUCUUAUUUCUUGUUUCAGUUACGUAAAUAUUGAAUCCUGUUCCCUACUCAUUUUAACACAAUAAAGUUUCCCACAGUUAUAUCUCCAUUUUUUUGUAUGUAUAUUUUGUUUCGUAGGUAUAAUGUGAAUAUUUGGGUUAUUGAUUUUGUAGGAUAGUUCUUGAGAAAAUCAUGUGCCAGAGUGAACAACUCAGUGGAACUUUAAUUCUUUUCUCUCAUUAAUUCAUGGCAUGCUAUAUAAUGCACUACAAUAAGUCAAGCCAUCUGUUGCUUUAGGUACUUGCAAAGGACUUGGUACUGCUGUCUCAGACUAAAAGCACCAGCAAAUGAAUAAACCACGAGCAUGUGCAAAGUCAAGUGCAAAUGCUAGUACUUCAUUGAAGCUACUGUUUUGUUGCAGCCUGUUUAUACUGAUUUUAAGGAGACUAAAGUGUGGUAUUAUUUGUAUAUUUCUACAGGAAUAAACAAUUAUGCCUCAGAUUGGAGCGAAGAAUGUCCCCCUGAUUCAUGUCUAGUUACGAUUAUUGGACUAAGGUUAUUUCUGGAUAACAGCUGAAAUUAUGAUCCAGUAGUCGGUGAGGUCCAUAGUGUUUGGAGUUCUGUUCUGAACUUGCUCUUGUAAUGAGUUGAUUAAAUUUAGGCGAGUGAGAACAUUCUGUUUGAUCCUUUAAUAGGAAAUGAUUCUAUAGUUAGAACAACUCACACCUGUAGCUUGUAGGGUGAGUAAAUGAUGGUGGAAAAGCUGUGUGUAAACUGUGUACACAAUCGUGUACCAUAUUUCUAAUCAACUUUGUUUUCAGUUUUUGAUUGAAUGCAAAAAUUGUGCUAUUUCUUUCUUAACUAAGCUUAUGUUGUUCUAAGCGAAGUUCAAUUAGGAAACAAUGUUUCCAGAUGGUUGAGUUUCUUUUUCAUGCAUGGUUAUAAACCUUGGACUCCCUUCCAUUUGUGAUUUGGUUCACAGAGGAAAGAAGAAUUAUAGCAAGUGGUCUAACAAAACAUUUUUCCCUAUUGGUGGAGGAAUUGCUGUGCUAAGUGUAUUUAGUUGUUAAUUGGUUGCCACAGACCCAUCUGCAUUGUGCACCCUGUUGUACGCUUUGGGAAUCCUCCCUUCUUACUACCUGUGAAUAGAAUAGGGCUUGACAUGUAUUUGUUAAUCUAAUUAAAUGGGAUGGCCAGAUGGGUGCCUCGGCUUCAUUUUGGUGACGAGGCAAAAUUGACAAACAGGUAGCUGAUAGUUUGCAGUGCUGGUCUUUAAAAAUGUUCUUUGCAACUUAACUACAUACAUCAGUGAUGGGAGUAAUUGUGGAGGAUAAAUUUUUUGGCCACUCAUGUCAUGUGUGAACAAUAGUUGGUAUACUUAAUUUGUUGUUGUCAGGCUAUGGAUUUGUUUUCACCUGAUGUAAAGAGUCACCCAUGACUAAGAUGUUCAGUCACGGAAUUUCUUCUUUUUACAGUAUAAAGGGCCAAUGUUUAGUAAAGUCACUUCACUAAGGGAAAAAGAACAUAGUACAUUGAGUACAAAUGCCAACUUUAACAAAGUCACUUCAUAAAAUGUAGUACAUUGAGUGAAAUCAAUUAAUUGUGAUAGUGAAAUAUACCUGAAAAAUCAUGACUUGGAAACAAUUAGAAUUUAAAGCCAAAAUGAUUGUGUGGAGAAAAUAUAGUGUUUUGAUACACUGUUUCACAAUUGUCUUAUUUUCUUGAUUGAAUUACGCAGAUAUUGAAUCCUGUUCCCUCCUCAUUUUAACAAAAUUAAGUUUCACAAAUGCAGUUAUAUCUCCAUUUGUUUUGUAUGCAUAUUUUAUUUCCUAGGUCUAAGGGUAUUUAGUUAUAAUGCAAGAUAUUUGGGUAUCGAUUUUGUAGGGUAUUUCUUGAGAAACUAAUGCAGUCAUGUGCCAGAGUGAACAACUCAGUGGAGUUUUUAUUCUUCUCUCAUUAAUUCAUGACAAGCUAUGUGUACUACAAGAAGUCAAGCCAUUUGUUGCUUAUAGCAAGUGGCUGUCUCAGGCUACAAGCACGAGCAAAUGAAUAAACCACGAGCAUGUGCUAAGUCAAGUGCAAAUGCUAGUACGCCAUUGAAGCUAUUGUUUUGUUGCAGCCUGUUUUAUGCUGAUUUGAAGGAAACUAAUGUGUGGUAUUAUUUGUAUAUUUCUACAGGAGUAAACAAAGUGUGCCUCAGAUUGAAGCGAAGAAUGUCCCCCUGAUUCAUGUCCCAUUACAUUUACACUGGACUAAGAUUACUUCCUCUGGAUAACAGCUCAAAUUAUGAUCCAGUAGUAGGUGAGGUCCAUGGCAUUUGGAGUUCUAUCUGAACUUGUUCUUGUGAUAAGUUGAGGCUAACAUGCAUUGUAAAUUCCUAUUCUACUGCUGACUUGAGUCCUUACUGCGAUAGAGAAUGAGAUGUGGCAACUAGAAUUGUUUAAUAACUUUAAGACUCAGCUAGAUACUCUAAGCUGACGGUGUUUAUGAGCUGGAUAGCCCACUUGUAAGCUGAAGUAUCAAGAAGCAGUUGAUUUGGUCGUUGUCAGGGCAGCUUAAUUGACCCUCUCCUACUGGGUUGCAGGUUUUGAACGGUUCUAUUGUUCGAUGGUCAGUUUUCUUGAGCUCACUGAAGCUAUUGCCGGAGCAGUUUUCUUGCAGUCUGCUAUCUAUAGAAUUUCCAGAAUCUUGAACGGUGCCAGCAGGAGAAGUGCUGCUGGAAGCUGCAAGGAAGAUAUUUUUGGCUGGAAGAAAUGCCUUUCUUCUUGAGGAGAGGAGAGCCUAACAAUCCUGUGGCUAAGCAAGAUUAUAGUUGCUAGUUGGUGACACAGAACGGAGAACAGGGAGGGUUCAGUAGAAAAUGUUCUGGAAUAUGUAUUGCGGAAGUUUGAUAUUUUGUUAGAUGCCUUGUGAUGAUCACCAGUUCCUUUUUUGCGCUUUUUUUUGUCCAUUUAAUUUCAUCUGUUACCCCCCUUAUCGAUCCUUCUACUUUUCAAAGAUUCCAGUCUCUGACAACGAUGAACUCACCUAUUCGGACAUCCAGCGAGAAACAGCUUGCGGAUUGCAGGGGCCCUGAUCGUGGGGACGAAGAGGUAGACUCCUUCACUCCAGUUCGUGCAAGCUCUGCAGCAGCACAGUUGGGAAUCAACGAAAAAUAAUUCCUUCCUUCUUAAGAGAAGAGAAAUGAGGAUUUGUUUAGUUCGCGAAAAUUUUUAGCUUUGACUACCGUAACACUUUCGUUUGUAGUUAAUAAUUAUUGUGUAAUUACGGACUAACUAGACUACAAAGAUUCGUCUCGUAAAUUACAAAUUAUUUCGUCUAUAUUUAAUGUUCAUUCAAUGUGAUGAGAAAUCUUUAAAUUUUUUUGGAAAACUAAACUAGGCCUAAUCACAUUGACAGAGGCCAUCAGCGACGUGUGGGCACAUUAUCGACAAGCCAUCAACACCUCGCUAAUGGCGAUCUCAUCUCGAAGCUAGUAUUUCUAUAUAUUAUUAUUAAAAAAACCACCUAGUGGCGAUCAAUCAUGCACGCCGCGCAGCUGCUGAAGAUAUCUCUAGAUAUGGGUACUCGUCAGGACGUUUUCCGAGCGUGCGGCGUCCACCCCACCGCCACCACAAGGGCCCUCGGGACAAAUCAGUCAAACAGCGGGUGGCGCGCACGCCCCACGGUCACGGCGCCAGGAGCACCAGCCACCACACCCACACGGACCGCCCGGGCACGUAGGCCCGCGGGGGUCACCACUCACCACCUCCGCGCGCACUGGUGGACCGCGGUCCCGCAGCAGUGGAAAACCACCGUCCAUCCCCGCUCCCACGCGGCCAACGCCACGUCGCCUAGACGCGGGGAAGGCUCGCGCGCGACUCCGCGCGCGCACUGGUGGACCGCGACGUGACGUGCCGCCCGCGCGGGCAAAGCACCGGGGCGCGCGGGGACGUCGCGCUCGGGGGGCGGUGGGUGGAUUCCCCGGGCGAAUUUUCCAGCGGCUGCGUGUUGUUCGGCUGCUGCAAGGGCAAGGCCGCACUACUACUGUUGGGUGCUAGGGAGUUCGACGCUGAAGCUGAGCUAAUCGCGUCGUCGCCCGGGGUGGUGUUGUCACUUGUCAGGUCAGGUGGUUGGACCUUGGACGCGGACGUUGACGUCACCGCAACACGAGGCAUACCCGGGAGAGUUUCUAGACACGGUUCACCUAAUUCAAUACUCUUCGUUUUAUGGAGUAACGUUUUAAUUAAUUAAUUAAUUAAUUAAUUAAUUAAUUACGGAGGAUUUAUUAGAACAACCUACCAUCUGUUUUCAAAUGUUAGGUCCAAUUCAAAACGGAGAAAGCCGGAUCCACUGUGAACUCGUCAAAGAUGUCAGACUUUCAAGCCAGUUUGACAAAAAUCUGGAAAACCUUCAAUUCGCAGUAUCGAGUGCGCGACUACUGAUUUUUUCUUUUCUUUUCUUUUUUUAAAUUUUAAAAAAGAAGUACGAAUUCGAAAUAAAAAUAAAAAUAAACGAGCACGAGCUUUUUUUUUUUUUUUGCGCUAAAAGAGUACGAGUACUGUUGCGGCAGCUGCGAUCCGCGCUCAGUACGUGUGGGACCCAGGCGCUUAAUGACCCCACGUGUCAUGGCAGACAAGGCGUAUAAUUAGGCGCAGGGAUCCGGGAUUAAUUUAGGCCUUGUUUAGUUCCAAAAAAUUUUGCAAAACAGGUACUGUAGCACUUUCGUUUGUUUGUGACAAAUAUUGUCCAAUCAUGUACUAACUAGGUUCAAAAGAUUUAUCUCAUCAAUUCCGACCAAACUAUACAAUUAGUUUUUAUUUUCGUCUAUAUUUAAUACUCCAUGCAUGCAUUUAAAGAUUUGAUGUGACGGAAAAUCUGAAAAAUUUUGUAAAAUUUUUUGGAAACUAAACAAGGCCUUAGGCGAGUGAGAGGCGCACGUCGAGGAUGCCACUUUUUCAAUUUUCGGGGCCGUUUCUUCGCCAUUUUUUUUUCCUCUCUCUUUCUCCUUCCUCUCGCUCGCUUCCCUUCCCUGCUCCCUUCCUCCUCCAGCCCCCUUUAUUCCUCCAUCCGCUCGCGCCAAUCUCUUCAGGGGGCGGGCAGGGAUCGGUGCCCGCCGGCCGCCCGUCAUGAUCUCCUGGCGGCGCAGCGCGUCAUGGCUGUCGUCGGCGUCCCGCUCCUCGCUUGGCGCUGCCGUCGGCGGGGAGGCGAAGGUCACGCCGGAGGUGGAUCCGGCGGCAGCCCAGGAGAUGGAGGAGGACGAGGAGGCCGACGAGGAGCGGUGGUCGCGCCUGCUGCCGGAGCUGCUCACGGAGAUCAUGCGGCGCGUGGACGCCGGCGCCGAGCGCUGGCCGCCGCGCCGCGACGUGGUGGUCUGCGCCUGCGUGUGCCGGCGGUGGCGCGACGCCGCGGUCUCGGUCGUGCGCCCGCCGCUCGAGUGCGGGAGGAUCACCUUCCCGUCCUCGCUCAAGCAGGUGAGACACAGACAACCACCGGACCGUAACGUCUCAUCGUGGUAAUACUGGCUCUUUUGAUCUGUUUGUGUAAAUCACCUGAAUCUAUAUGGCUCGAACUUGCUGUGUUCUUGAGGAUUUGGGGCCACAUGGUUAUCGAGGCUGAAGUUUUCUUAUUACCCAUUUCUUUCCUUGAGAAAAUAAAACCAGCAGCCACACAUCCUAUGGGCAUGUUUGAUUUGAAGCUCUAGGUGCAAGAGAUGUCUAGGUGCACAGAUGUCUUCUGCGCCUUUUUCUUAUACAGUUUGACUCGAUCUCGGUUGAUCUCUGGAUCGGUUGUUGGAUUUAAUCUUCUUCAAAUUAAAUUAAUUUUCUGUUUCUAAAUAGGCGUCUAUGCCUACACAAUUUUAUUUGUACGCAGAAAUGCGAACAAUUUGUAUAUCUAGUUCUUUUGUGGUCUGUUUACAAGGAUCAGCAGAUCCAUGCUUGUACUAACAAUUUGUUUAUCUAAUUCUUAUUGUUCGUGGGGCGGCGCUGCAGUGUUCCUUGUGCGUUAGAAUUUAGAACGGAGCCACAUGUCCAUCUUAAUCUCUAUCCUCCUAUUUUGGCUACGUAACACUAUAUUUUUGGUGGCUAGUGCUAAUAAAGUAUGGCAGUAGUGGAGAAGUUGGCACAAACACAGACUUUCUUUAUUUAUGUUUAUAUGUGAUAGCUGGAUGUUGUUUGGUAUGCCAAUAGCGGUAUGAUAAUACCUAUAAAAGCUUUUCUUCUGUGCUUGAGUUUACUAAAUAUUAAUUUAAUGUAUGCUUAUAUUAUUUCUUUUCCACAGCCUGGACCAAGGGAUGCACCGAUGCACUGUUUUAUCCGGAGGGACAAAAAGAACUCGACCUUUUCUCUCUAUCUCAGCUUAACACAGGGUGAGUAAGCAUGGGUAUCUUCUUAUUCCGCCAUGCUUUUGAUUUCAUGGUAUCAUGGAUCUGGUUCACUUGGUGGAUUGAGAUAGGGGUUUCAGAUCUCUUUUAAUUUGAAUAUGUAGUGCCAAGUAAGCAACUAAAAAGGCUAACUGACUUUCUGAGGCUCCCGAUCCAUCUAUGAUGUUUGAAAUGGAAUCCUGUAAUUCUGUCAAAUCAUGUUUAUAAAAUUGAAAGCAUAGCCAUUGGGGCCAAAUAAACAACAAAUACCAGCUGGCACCUCUGCUGAGGUUACUUCACAUAUGACUUGUGAUGUUGCACAUCUGUACCUAGUCUUGUUUAGAAAACAGGAAAGUGAAUAUAUAGUUUGCUUAUUCCUGUAAUCAUUUACGGCUUUCUUAUACCAUUUGACAAGGACCUGUACAUCUACUUUGCCAUCCCACCUACAAUAUUUAUAGUGUUCUGCCUAAAUAUAGUCCUAUUCGUUUGGUAGGAAGAUUAUACCAUUUGAUGAGGACCUGUACAUCUACUUUGCUGUCUCACCUACAAUAUUUAUUGGGUUCUGCCUAAAUUAAUCCUAUUCGUUUGGUAGGAAGUUUUGACUUAUCAUUGAUUGUUGAAAAAACAUUCAAUUGAAUACAUUGGCAGUGAUUCUUACUCGGCAUCUACUUGAUUUGAUCUUAACGGCUAAUAUAAAUUUUGGAAAUCUACCUUGCUGGCAUAAUAAUAUAUAGUAGAGCUUGUGAAGUAGAUGAUUUUGCAAUGCUAAUGGAGUUUUGGAAACUCUGCAUGAUCUAUUUGUACUCACAUAAUCAGUUUAACUUAUGAUCUGUGAAAGCAAGAAAAUGUUGAAAUACUGGGUCCUGUCAAGUGUAUGAUUGGCUAUUUCACUGUAUAAAUAAGGUUACAGUUUCUCACAAGUAUGGUAUGUAGAGACAAUAUCGCUUGGGAACUUGAAUCCACAAUAGUCCAGUUGAUCUCUUAUUCCCUGCUAUAUCGAUCUGAAAUAAGCCAGUUCUAGAGAUUGUACAAUGAAGUUACACUUUGUCUGGAAUUCUUGACUGCAUGUUCAUGUGAUAUUUAAUUUAUUUUGCUCUCUUGGCAGCUCUAACGGAUAAAGGGAAGUUUCUUUUGGCUGCUCGAAGGUUCAGACAAGGAGCACAUACAGAAUAUAUCAUCUCUUACGACUAUGAUGAUCUGCACCCAAGAAGCAGUUCAUAUGUUGGAAAGUUGAGGUAAGGUCUAAUAUGUCCAGAACCUUAUUUUCCAAUUUGAUUACCUGAUUUGUUUGUUGUGCAUGCCCACGAGGUUAAGUGUUCAUCUUUUGACUAUAUGUUAGCUGAGUUCUAUAUUAUGGGCAUAAAACUGUAUAAUUUGUGUCAUGUGCCUUAUUUCCAUUGCUUCUAUAAUUGUUUAAACACUUUAGUAAAUUAAUCCAUCAUCUCCUUAUUUCUGGUAGUUAUAUUGUCAAUAGACACUAUCCACGUUCAUAUGCAUUGCCAUAUUCUGUGAUUGAAUCAGCUUAUGAGAAAAUUGCUUGUGUGAGGCGCAUCUAUGACAGAUUUCUGUGGUAUAUUCAGCUAGCAGUGGCUGAAAUCCUGUUUAUUCAUAGGUUGAGGUUCUGUUUCAGUUACAUUGACGGAUUGUGGCAGCUUUUCCUUGUUUUUCAAGUCAGUCAGUCAACUGUUACAUAGAGUUAUUUGUAUGAAAACAAAGAACCAAUUCAAUCAUUGGAUAAUCUACUCCAGAUGCUGUCUUGUUAUUGCCAAAAGUUCACUAUAGGGGUAUAGUUAACACUGUUGCGUUACCUCUGAACUUCCACUAAUUGUUCAUGCCACUCUUUCCUUCCUUCGCUAUAAAUUGGCUACAGCCUACAACACGUCCAUAACUCAAUGUACCUGUCAUUGAUGCCCCAGCACACAGCCGAAAACAUGAUAAUACCCUGUAUCAUACUCUUCUCCAAUGAUUUCAGGUCGACUGGUCGAAGCUGGUCGCUCUAGGACCGACCAGGCGAUUAAUCGAGAUUAAUCGUAAUCGCCCUGGUCGUCCAGCUAUUUCAGGGCAUAUAUGCCUAUAUAUAUACCUCUAUAUAUACUAUAUAAUAUACACAAUCAAGCCAGCAUCAAGACUACAUUAGUGUUUAGAUAGUGAAUUACUUGUGGGAUUUGGUUUCUUCUCUUUUCUGCACUGUCCAGACUCCAGAGGUCCAUAUUGUUGUCCCAAACUCCCCCUGCAGCCCCUCUAUUCUAUCUAAACCCUAACAGGCCAAAAACUAAAGCCCAUUAGCCCAGUCCCAGUUAGAAAAGGCCCAAAAAAAUAGAAGUCUGGUCGUCCAUCUUACCUGGUCGUCUGAUUAAUCGUGAUUAAUCGACGAUUAAUCGGACGACCAGCUUUCUGGUCGAACUAAUCGAGUCGGACCUCCUAAUCGAAUCCUAGUAGCGACCUGGACGAUUAAUUGCGAUUAAUCGGGCGACCUGAAAUCAUUGCUCUUCUCUUAUACAUAUUAAGCUACCAUGAUGGAACGAUCGAUUCAAUUUUCCAUAUAGUAGGGAUGCAUUGCUCCCAUAAAUUUAUUAUGUGCAACCCUAAAGUUUUGGUUUUUGGAAAGCUUUUAAAAACUUGCAUUGUAAACAAUUGCAUUUAAUCUUGUUGCAAGUACCGGGAACGAAUUCAAAGCCUUCCUCCCUUUUGUGUUUGUCUUUGAUUUUCCAUAAUGUCACUCAAAACUGUGGCCCAUCCAUGUGUAUUUGCAGUAGGGUGUAUGGAUACCUGAUGUAGAUCUAGCUCUAGCUCUGCAUUAUACACGGUAUCUCAAUGCUUAUAUGCACUUUCUCCUGUCCAUUGUCCUGGAAAAAAAUGUGAUUAUUGAAAGAAUUGGGCCUUACAUCCAUGAGAGUGAACUGUAGACAAUGAAAUACAAAAAUAGUUUAUACUUACAAAUUGCUGCAAGGGACAUUCAACUUAAAGCUUUCAACCAUGCUAAUAUCUGUGUAGAGGUGGAAAAACAUCAACGGAUGUUGUACAGUGAUGUUUGACUUAAAAAGUUUAAUUCUUACAGCACAAAAUGCUCCAUUGUGAUUUGUGAUACAGGUAAAUGUACAUUUGGUGGGAGGGUAGGCAGAUGUAGUAUACAGCUGGUUGUGAGGUUCAUUUAACAUAUGUGCUGUCAGCGAGACGGUGGCAUAUGAAUGUCUGGACAUGAGGGAACACCAGAACAGAGUUUGGGUUGUCAUUUUGUCAUAACUCAUAAGCAAGGAAGCAAGCACAUGCUAGUUUCCAUGCCCUAACCCAACUGAAACUAGUCCUACAGUUUUGUAGAGACAUCAGAUUUUCUCAAUCCUACAUCACUGGUCCUAACAUAGUAACAUCUAUGGAGGGACACCAGACUUUCUACCACUUUCAAAUGCAUUUGAUCCAGCGUUAUCCGUGAAGUAAUAGUGUCAUAAUUUGGCACUUUAUGGAUUGUAUGUUCAUAUUACGAAAGGCAUUGUUAUUAUAAGAAAAAUGAUAUCUUGUUAUAAAGUUUGCAAGUUUGCCAAUAAUACUAAUUUGAUAACAUGAGUUCUGCCUGUAGAUCUGACUUCUUGGGGACAAAGUUUAUCAUCUAUGAUAGCCAGGCACCAUAUGAUGGUGCUAAACCUUCGCGGAGCCGAUCCACUCGGCGCUUUGCAAGCAAGCAGAUAAGCCCACAGGUUUCAGGUGGCAAUUUUGAAGUUGGACAAGUGACCUAUAAGUUCAACUUCAUGAAAUCAAGAGGGCCAAGGCGAAUGCAGUGCAAUAUCCAGUGCCCUGUAAGUCAGGGCACUAUGUCAGAUCCAUCCAAGGAGAAAACACCCUCGUCAAGUUCCUUAGAUCUAAAGAACAAAGCUCCAAGAUGGCACGACCAUCUUCAGUGUUGGUGCUUAAAUUUCCAUGGCCGGGUGACUGUCGCCUCCGUGAAGAACUUCCAGCUUGUGGCCACAGCCGGCUCUGGUGGUCCAUGGGGCGUUGGAGACGAGGAAACGGUGAUCCUGCAGUUUGGGAAGAUCGAGGAUGAUGCGUUUACAAUGGACUACCGGCAGCCUCUGUCUGCUUUCCAGGCGUUCGCCAUCUGCCUCACCAGCUUUGGCACGAAGCUGGCUUGUGAAUAAGUGAUUGCCUUGUUUACCAAUUAUAUGUUGGGGAUCAAAUUGUAGGGGAUAGUCUGAACUAGUUGCCCUGAGCCCCUGAGAUGGGAGAAAACUGGCGACAAGAAACGGGCAGACGUUGCCCCUAGCUUGGCUUCUUGUGAUCGCCUAAACGAUUGAUUUAUAUGAUGUGCGUCUAUGUGAUUUAUAUGAUGUGCGUCUAUGUUGUUGAAGAGAUGACGAUGACUUAUUGUUGUAAAUGACACUCCCUUUCGUUUGGUGACAUUCACUCAUAAUGCCUUAUUCCGCUGGUGUGCAGUGUGCUGUUAAACCUUUUCUUUUCUGCAUUUUUCACAGACGAUGGUUGAGUUGUUUCUAUCAGACAUGAAUACAUGAUCGACCAGGUGGUGACGGUGUGAGGAUAUCUAGUUUUGUUUGCUGCUAAACUGGUAGUACUAUUGUUUAUUGGACCAGUUAUCAUGCAUGAUUAAAUUACGUUGUCAUUAAAUUACCAAGUGCUCCAUCUAUAUAGAUAGAAAUAGAAUCAUGCUACAUGCCCUUGGAGAUUGCUAAAGAACCCAUCACUACAACUUAUCCAUUCCUACAUAUCCAUCACUAGUAGAAUAAAACAACCAGGAGCCGCUCGCUAACAGUUGGCAUGGUCAGGGUAGCUUCCGUCAUUUCUGUAGAUCGUGUACGCGAAUUUGCCGUUGCCUGUCACGAUGGACGUCCCUGCUGGAAUCAAUGGAGCACCACGGCAACGGAGCACGUUUCUUGGGCUGCACAUGGAGUCCCAAAAAAGACGUCGCGGGAGGUCGAGUGGACACGGAAGGCAGCGCGCGCGAGAGCCACGACUCCGUAGGCGACUGGGGCAACGGCAACGGGAGCAGCGGCUGCGGCGACAGCGCCAUCUCACGUCCGGCAACGGCCUCCUUGUCUUCCAGAAGCAGCGGGAAACCGUACCCGCCGCCGCCGGCAUCGGCGCCCGCGUCACGCUCACGUCCCAGCUGCUUCUCGCCGCCGUCCGGCGAGCUUUUGGUAGUAGCCUUCUUCAGAAGCAACGCGGUGUCGCCGGUUCUGGAGAGCUUCCGCGCCGGCGAAACGUGGCCGCAAGCCUCGUUUGACCUGUCGAGGACCAGGAGCAAACCCAGAUGGCUCGCCUUCGGGCGGACGGCUUGCCCGUCUCGGCGUUUGUACAGUUCGCGCACUGUUCUGUCCAGCUCCGAGGCCACGGCGGCCGCCGGUCCCAUCAGGCCGCCGGCGCCGGGGCCUGAUGAUCGGAGCAGUGACUUGAUGUACACUUCCUCCCAGGAUUGCUGCGAGAUCUGCACGACAAGCCGUGAGUUGUUCAGGCAUGAGUCGGUGAAUUCGUCAGCACGGAAGUGAUGUUGAUGCACAUGAGAGGAGUACCAUGCCGUGAUCGUCUCCGGGAUGCUGGAGCUGCUGCUGCUGCUGACCGUUACGCGAGCGCGGCAGCAGUGGAUUCCUUUGUCGUCGGCUUCCGCCGCCGUCGGACUGGAACGGUGUGCCUGCACCUCGCCGCGCGACGCGGGAUAGCAGCAAGGCGCUCAUCACGCACGGGGUUGAGAGCAGCCCGCACCUCUUGGACGCGAAGCCCGCCGUGCUGUGCGCGUCGGAAUUGUCGUCAUCGUCGUCGUCGUCGUUGUUCUUGCCACUGGGAGGUAGGGGCGGCAGGUGGUACGCCGCAAUGUGCUGAAGGGGCACCCGCCUUUGCGCUGGCACCCUGUUGUCGCCACCGGCGGCCGUGCGCGCGCCUAGCACCACAGCCGCCCGGCCCGACGCCGCCUUCCGGAACGUGCUCUGCGGGGAUCCGGCGGCCACGGCGUGCGCGGCCGGCAGGAACCGGUCCAUCAUGACGCUGCCGCUGCGGCGGGCGCACGGCCCUGACCCCGACCCCGCCCCAGUCCCCGCGGCGUCGCUGAUGCCGGUCGCGCUGCAGUUCACGGUGACGCAGCUCACGUCGUCGCGGGAGAGCGCGUCGGAGCGCCGCUCCUCGCCCCGCCGCGCGCGCACAGAGUCAGAGGCCACGCCCACCGCCGCCGGACUCCGCGUCACGCGCGAGGGCUCAUCGACGUCGUUGACGAUCGUCAAGGGAGGUGGUGGGGCCGGCGGCGGCGGCGGGCGGCGGGUGCGGACGCUCUUGGGGUGGCCGGGGCGGUGCUCCCACCCGAAUGGCACCGCGCUGGUGUGGUGGCCCGGGGGCUCCGACGUGGCGUCCGCCUUGUAGGCCGGCGGCAACCCCGUGGCUGCGGUCUCAGCGCCACCGCCACCGUGGCGCCGGAUGGAGAGGAGCGGCGCGGCGAGAUUGAUGCGCUUGUUGGCGUCGGCCAUGCUAGACAACUGACGCGAAUGUGAAGCUCGCUGCUGCGCUCCGCAGACUGCAACUACUUCGCCACUGCACUGAAGUAAUCCGCGGAUUAAAUAAUGAGAGACUCUUGGAUCGUUCUGCUUAAUGAUCUUUGUACUACUCGUACUCAGGUGCACGACAGUAGGUCGCCGCAUGGCACCGCUAUAGCCGUACACGACGUGGCGGGAAGCGACCAAACUGAGCUGACAGGUUGCUACACUGUCACUGCAGUCUGUUGUCUGUGCACGAGCUCUGAUUCCUGUAAAAUCUUGUAAAAAAAACGAAGAGAAAAACAAACAGAGAUAUAUCAAUUCACAUGUAUUGAGGUGGGUUGGAGUGGAAGUUGAACUAAAUUCCACCCUAAUCCACAUCAACACAUGUGGAUUGAGGUGAAUUCGACAACAUCUAAACAAAGCCUAAUACAUUUCUUUACACCCUGUGUGCAGGUGAAGGUUUUUGAUCUGCCUGUCGGCUGCCGCAGGCUGCAGGUGUUGCCGAAUGGAGGAAACGGUUACAGUUACAGCAUGUUAAACAUUCUCGCUACGACAUUCAUUGUCCUCCGAUUGAUUGAUUGGCUGUAUUAUUGGGACGUACGUAGCAGAGCAUCAUCAGCGGUGACAAAACGGCUGUGUGGUCUCGCGCGGGAGAUUAGAGCAUGCAUAACAACCGGUUGGUGACCCCUGUGUCGGAUCGGAUGGACGGCAUUGUCAGUAGCGGAUGGGGAGUCGGCGUCGUGUUCGUAACUGCCAUGCAGACUGCAGCGAGGCAGGUCGUUUUCUCGUCGCUCAAGAGGUGGGAGGGGGAAGAACAGCACCGACACAACCCGUGUUCCCUUUGUCCCUGGCGUCACCAACUGACGACUGACGAUAGGGGAUCAGAAAUUCAGAAUCGUGGUACAGUAAUGGUACAGUCAUCAUGUUAAUUGGCAGGCAAUGCCGUGCAGUAAUCCGAUGAGUACGCGCUAAUCACGUCAAGCAUCGCCGACGUGUCUGAGAUUUCUUUCUGACAUUAUCGCCCAUGCUAAUAAUGGCUUGGUUGGUUUGGGAAGCAUGAUUCUAGCUAUGGACUGUUCGUUUCAGUAGUAAUCCAAGUACUAGGUGCUAAGAUUAUGCAGCAUCCCCAAUAGUGCGAUUGGUGUCCCAACUUUGCAUCUAGUGCGGUUAAGCUGUAUGCGUCCUAAAGUCUCUAACAACUCUACUAUCUGCAUGGCGUUUCUGUUUGUUUUCGCAUUCAAGAGCCCAUUUACAGGUCCCUCGCUCGCUGAAACGCCCCUUUCUACUUUUUUCCGAAGGGACUGUCGUCCAUCGGCACCUGAUCUUUCCCCUAAAGAAUCUAAUAAUAGGGUCUUAAGUUUGAGGAAUGCGUUGUCUCCUUACUCAUUCUUUUGGUUUGUGAAAAAAAGAACAGGUUAAUCCAUCGUCACCUAAUUCACUGCAAGCUAGCUAGCUAAUAAAUUAUACUAGUACGAUAUUAGAGUCAUUCCACCAAAUUUUUAAAACGAACUCACCAUACACCAUAAUCCCCCAAACCAAACAUGAAACACCUUACAACGGUCUAAAGUCAUAGUCUUCUUCUAGCCAGAUGCAUCUACUCAUCCCGAUGGGCGUCAAGCUGCCUCACCAUCCUGCCCUCUUCACAGCAAAGAGAGGCAUAGCAGACUAAUCGAACCGUGGUGGCAACACUCUUCUAUUGCUGCCUGUGGUUUUAACUGGUGAAACCAUUGCUCCUCUACAUAAGUAUUUGAAAACCUGUAAGACAACUGUCUGUUGUGACUAGUGGCGGAGGUAGAAAUAUUUUUUAGGUGUGGCGGGUUUAUAAAGAUCAAACAUGUAUAAGUAGGGAUGAAAACGGAUCGGAUACGGACGGAUAUCACCGAUAUCAUAUUUGUUUUUAUAUUUCUGGUCGGAUUCGGAUUCGAAUACAGAUAAUAUCAAUCAUGUCGGAUAAGAUAUAAUUGGAUGUCGACAUCAUAAAUAUACGAUUUAAGUAUUCGGAUACGGAUACGGUAUCGGAUAUUGAAUAUUCGGACUCGGAUACAGAUCUGAACCUCUCUAAACGAAUUCGGUCUCGAAUACGGUCGGAAAAUAUCCGUACCGUUUUCAUCCUUAUGUAUAAGGUCGCACUCGAACAAUAUCUAAAUAUGCAUAUAUGUAUUGACGUAUGAAACUAUCAAGUAUGUACUUUUAUCUAAAUAUUUAAUGCUAUAUACAAUAUAAUAUACAUGUAUUCCAUAUUUUAUACAUGUUUUAGGUAUGGCGGGGGCCAAGCCUUGCCAAAUGCUCUGUGACAUGGAGGCUAGGUGAAGACGUGGAGGACGGGGCAGCAUGCAUGCUAUAGUGUUGGUACAUGCAGUGUUGGUGAAGCCCUAAGCCGUUGGACUCCUCAGGGAACCCGUUCGUUCCUAAAUCCCAUCCCCAACGCUACAAUCCUAAACCUUAAUAUUGUCAGGGAUGAUCAUGGUGUUUUUCCUUUCCUAAAUCCCAUCCUCGUUCUAGCAUCUCUAAGAUUACCCUAUUCUCUUUCUUAAUCUUUAGUUUUUGGAAAAAUAAAAAAAUCACUCUCCAACAACUCCUAAUCCUUUUACGCACUUGGGAAAUUCUCUCCCGUCGUGCGUAACUUUGCGCGGAGUCGCGAUUGCGUGAAUACACACAUAUUCUUCGACCAAUUAGUGGUGGAAGGGCAGAAAAAGAAUAAAAAGUAUGAAAGGAUUCCAGAUGCAAAUGUAGAAGAGAUAAAGAAUAUAUAAAAUUGGUUACAAUCAUCUAGAAGUAAUAUAAGAUUCCUAAUGUAAAAUUGUCUUCUAACUUAAUUAUUGGAAAUUAUUUAAGAUGGCCUUAUUUUUUUCUUCCAAUAUAUUUUUAGGAUUUAUAAAACAUUGACUUUUUGGGAGGAAAAAAAUUAGAAUAUUCUUGGAGAUACUAGAAGAAGAAUACCAAGGAGAAGAAAUGUCCAGCAUCAGAGACGGACAGACGGAGUUGGACUCUAUAGGUGGAUGAGUCCAUUUGUGCAAACUGGCAACCAUGCUUGCCCGGGCCAGCUAAAUUAGCUCUAAAGACUCGAGAUUUGGCCCAUCUACUAAACGUCUAACCCACUGAGCCACUGAGCCAAGCACUGGACCUUAAUAUUGUGGCCCAAGCACUGGCCCUUUAUUAGCCUUUUUUCAGCCCAAUAGCAACUAAAGGCUCCCACAGCCACAAUACCUGCAGGCUGCAGUCCAGACUCCAGAGGUCCAGUGCUGUGCCGGAGCCAUUCAGAAUUUCAGAUGCGUCACGUCAUAUAUCUUUUUGAAGAAUCGUCACGCCAUAUAUCUAGCCAUCAUGAUCUAAUUUUUCCAUCAACUAUAGGUUAUUAGCCUUUUUGUUAGCCCAAUUGCAACUAAAGGCUCACACAAUACCUGCAGGCUGCACAGUCCAGAGGUCUGCCGGAGCCAUUCAGAGUUUCAGACUAGUAUAUCUUAGCUAUCAUGAAAAAUUCUCUCUCUCUCUCUCUCAAAAAAAAAAAACUAGCCAUCAUGAUCUAAUUUUUCCAUCUACUAAACUGGAGAUCGCUUUCGAUCGUUUUCGACCCCCACGCUAGCGAUCGUGAACAUUGGCCCUGAGAGCGAAACUCCAGCAGAUCGAACGUCGACGAAGUGCUGUUUUUUUGUCCAGAAAACAGCUCGUAAUUCUUCAUGCAUGAGGUUAAACUUUGCAGUUCCUGGGCAAUUUGGCUUUGCAACCAAAGUGCAAAGCUAUAAAGAGCCACUUUUCUUUUAUGGAUUGGCAGGAAAAGGAAGACAUGGGUCGGUCUUUCCAACCAAAAAGAUUCUCACUUUUGAUUCCGCCCUCAUCAAAAGCUACAGAUUAGGACUCGUACCAUAUGGAGGAUAAAGACCAUGAACACCCAAAGCAUUGCGCUUUACCGAGAUAAAGUAAAGGCGAGAAUCUUGUUUUGGAUAGUUUUUUGCGCUUUUUUUUCUGUGAACUUUUAUGUCUCGCAAACGCAAAGUGACCAUGGGAAAAGCUUAGGAAGGUGCAGCUAGUGCUUUGCUCAGAUUCUUAGUAACCAAGUCAUGCCUGCCAUAUGCCUCUUAUUAGGUCCUAUAUAUAGGUUGACUCCUGUUGACUCCUGGAGCUUUUACUUCUUAAUUACCGUUCUGCUAGCUAAUGCAUAUAUAUUGAACUGUCUGCAGAUUGCAAGAGAAAUGUUUGAUGAAGCUCGUCGGAAAAUUUUAUCUGCUCAUGUAAACAAACCUUUGCUCAGUCAGUUCUUACAUUUCUUUGGAAAGUUUUUCCGUAAAACCUGCACGAUUCUACAACGGAUCGUAUAGCUAGCUAGAGGGCAGCUCAUUAUGCGAUGCAGUUCUUAAACAUGGCUUUGCAGACAACCAACAAAGACACGGCAUAUGUGUUGUGAGUACGUACGUACUGAAACGUCGACCGGUACCGCAGCCAAAAGCCCAAAAGGCACCACAAAUCAUGGUGUCCACCGCGCACGCACCCAAGCACUGAGCCACUGGCUCUCACGUAUAUAUUUGCUAUAUAUAUACAAGAGCCAGGUCUACUGGAUGCCUGAUAGUACGAGAUAUAGCUUCUUCAGAAACCAUCGAAAACCAGCCACCACACGCCUCGCGCAACAUGCUGCCUCACGUCGAGAUGCCGGCCAGGGCGGCGGCCGCGUGCACCGGCGCGGCGGGCAUCAAGCUGUUCGGCAAGGUCAUCACCACGCAGCCGCCGCAGCAGCCCAUGCAGCACGCGCCGCCGAGGCUGCAGCAGCAGCAGGCGUCGUCGGGGCGCGGGAACAACGCCGACCUGCUGGAGGAGGUGGCGCGGGCGCGCGCGGCGGCGGCCGAGGUGCGGCUGCCGUGCCCACGCUGCUUGAGCCGGGACACCAAGUUCUGCUACUUCAACAACUACAACGUCAACCAGCCGCGCCACUUCUGCCGGGCCUGCCACCGCUACUGGACGGCCGGCGGCGCGAUCCGCAACGUGCCGAUCGGCUCCGGCCGCCGCAAGAACCGCCCCGUGCUGCUCCCACCGCCGGCGCCGCAUCACGCUGCCACCGCCACCGCCAGCAGCGCCGACGAUAACGACCACCGCUCGGGCUCGGGGUCUCCUCCGGUGUUCACGUCUGUGUUCACCGCGCCCUACCUCGGCGGCUCCCCCUCCCAGUUCACCACAUCGCCGGCUUACGCCGCCGCCGCCGCCGCUGCCGCCGGCCACCCGGGGACGACGACGGGGCAGUGCUUGUGGCUGGUGGCGACCACAGAUCGUCCUGUUGCAUCGGACCGCGCUUUUCUGAUAUGAUGAUGUGAAAAAUAAAUAAAAAUGAUGUGAUUUUAAUUUGCUUGGUUACUCACGCUCCGAGCUUUUCACGGAUGGAACCGGCGGUUUCGGUGUGGUGGAUAGGGUAGGGUUUGACCUGGUAACAAUUUUGAGUGCAUGCUCGGGCUUUUUUUAGGUGUAGCUGUCAGCUGUGUAAUCCAAGUGUCUGUUCUAACCUUUUCUUUUGACUUUGCAUCAAACUUUUCUGAAGGUUGUUUAAGUCCUUUUUUGGGAACUUUUGUGGGCUUGGGAUGUAAUUUAACUUGACUAGAAACAUGUCUAUGCAUUUCAGUGGGAGUGAGGGGGUGCUGCUAUGGUUAUAUAGUAAUUGACUGGAAACAUCCCUAUGUUGUUAAAUUUUGAUGUUGUUAUGAAGAAUGAAGUGAGCCAGUGAUUGUCUGUCACACACUGACAAUGCAAACUCCAAUUGACGACAGGUCGCGCUCUAGCACGAGCAUGCGACCGUACCCACACAGCCUGUGCCUUCUUGUAUCCUGUCUCUUUUCUUCUCCAUCUCCACUGGGUUUAGAAAAGAGGGUCGUGGGAGGCAGGCAGGCCCGACGUUGGGGACCGGAGAGAUGGCAGUGAGGCAGAGGCGACAGUGACGCCACCGGAGCAGGCGGCUAGACAAGGUUGGAUCAAGGGUGACCAAGGCCAUGGCAAUGGAGGGGGAGGAGGUUGUUGUGAGCGUUGUAGGAUCUUGACAAAGCUCUGAGGCUGCGGGCACAAGGUGGAGCUCCGACGAGACCCUAUUAUGUUGCGACGGGGUGACGCUAGGACUAUGAGUUUGAGGUUUAGGAUUUAAAUACUAAGCUUGUUUCGUCAUGUGCCCAUAUAUGUGCCUCAUACUAAGUUGGACAGAGUAGCUCCUACCACAGUAAGAUCAUUUGCAAUAACCGGUCUUGUGAAAAUUAUAUAGUAUGAACAUAAGGUUAAAGAUGUAAAUACCAGCGGUUGAGCAACUCUAUUCAUUAGGUUCUUUGUGGCCGAACUAUCUACUCAGGUUUAAAGUCUUCAACUUGAUACGUGUGUUCUUAUUUUCUGGUUUAUUCCAAUAUUUAAUGAAGCUAUUUUCUUAGUGGUAGGCAAUGUGUUGAUAGCGAGGGUUCUAUAUGGUGAUUUUGUUAAUCUCGAGAUAUGUUGACUUAGUCUUCUAGAGGUGCUCAUAAUGGUAAGACAUGUGCAUGUGUAUUAGAAUUCAUAGGGGUGAGUGUGUGUUUAUGAGUGAUGCAUGUGUGUUAACUUGGUCAAUCUCUACUAUACCAAUCUUCUAGAGGUGCUCAUUUAAAAACCAAGAAAAAUGAUCCAACAUCCAAUUCCAAAUGACUAAUAUUCAAUCCAAUCUAGAAGCCUUGGGCUGGGCGUAGAGCUUUGCCAUCUGGGGCCCACUCCCGCAUGAGCCAAAAGAAUACGGCCAGAUUUGCUGUUUUUUUUAUAUAGGCCCACAAAUUUGCUGUGGCGGUCCGUAAGUUGUACAUUACGCAUGAUGGAGUUGGAUUGCAAAGCGCCAACCAAAGCCCAUUCAGUAUAAAAAAAAACAGAGCCCAUUCGAGCAAACCUCCUUGUGAGGCCGCCGCAACGGCCUAAACGUCUGCACUGCAACGUGACUGGAACCAGCCCCGUCAACCAGUGGCGAAGCCAGCGAAAUGAGAAAGGGGGGGCCAGUUUGGCCAGACAAGAUUCGAGAUUCUUUUUUACACGUACGUGUAGUUACUCUCAUCUUCAAUAAACUACAUUGUGUAUGUAUUUAUACUUAUUUAUCGGUUUGAGUAUGUUUAUAUACUCAUAUUAAGAUACUCUAGAUCUUACCACGCGAAAAUUUUUCAAAAAAAAAUUAUAUUUUAAAUACAUUACUAAAAUGCCACUACUAUAUUAUAUACGAUAAGUAUAACCAUAUACUCACGCAUGCAUACUUAACAUAUAUAUCACUCUAGAUGGUCUAAUAUGAUCAUAUACUUUAUCUAUAUACAUUUCGUCCAGUCAUAUACACCUUAAAUCUAGAGAUAUAUAGUGAGAGUAACUACACGCGCGCGUGUGUGUAUAUAUUAUAUAUAUAUAUAUAUAUAUAAUAGAAACCAUGACAUCUAAAAUUUCUUUUUGAAUUUGUGGUGAAGUAUAUUUGGCAUUCUGUGGAGCAUUAUCUAGCACAACUGCAUUGACCUCUUCGUUAUAUGAAGCGAGAAGUUUCACCAUUUCACGAAAAUUGUCUUGGUUUUUGAAGUAGCUGAUUCAUCAUGUCCUCAAAAAGGACAAGCUUGAAAUGCUAAGUGUCGAACUGCAUCAAUAGAUGUCCCAAGACGCAACCGAUUCUUCUAGAUUUCUUCCUUUGUUUGUUUCUCCACCACAUGCUCAAUAUGGCCUGCUGUAUUCUUCAGAUUAUCAUAACAAUUCAUAUUAUAAUUAUGAGCAGAUUUACUAUCAUUUUCCAUGUGAACCAAGAAUGAACAAUUUGUUGAAAUAUAAGGCAUUUUCAUAUUUAUUUUAAUCCAUAAAAAUGACGCAAUAAAAGGGAUAAUUACGACAUGAAUUAUUUGAGAAAAACAAUUCAUGACAAAUAUUAAAAGGAUGACUAUCAAUUUGCAGAAGCAAAUUAAGAAGACAGAACAUACAACUAAUAUCAUUUUAUUUAUGUGAAUCAUCAUAGUUGUGCUCAAGGUAUCCUCAAUAACCGAAACAAAGAUGAGUACAGAAAUAUAUGGUACCAGUAAAAGAUUAUUCACAUGAUCAUCCAAGCAAAACAUGUAGGAUAAUAGCAAAAUGCUACCCAGGAACAUCAUGAUAUUAACAGUGAAAUUAAUAAUAGGAUGAAGGAGAUUAUACCCUGCGGCAGAACCGUUCGCACCGGGAAAAGUCAUGGUGGUGCUUUGUCGUUGUAGUCGUCCCGCUCGAUGCAGUGCAGAAAAGGUUGCCGUGUAGUCGCCGCAGAAUCACCAGCGAGUAGUCGUGUCGCCAACGACACUCCCCAAAAACGUAAUCGCCCGUCCUCACCCGAGCAGAUGAAGCGCACGACGGAGACGCGUUCCGGAGGCCUACUCUUCCAUCUCUGGUGCUCGCCGGAGAUGGAACGGAAAGGACUUGCGCAACAGGAUGUGGUUUUUCCUUCUAAAGAGAACCGAGAGAGUGCGGGUCCUUUUAUAGGCAAGCAGAAGGAGGAAGGCCAGACGCGGAACAGAAAGGUCGCGACUCUUUGCGGUGGAGGAGACAGAAACUGACAGUAACUCCUCUCAAUCAAGACCAUGAAGGCAGGAGUUACGGGAGUUACCAGAAACUCCUCUCAAUCAAAACCAUGAAGGCAGGAGUUACGGGAGUUACCAGAAACUCCUCUCAAUGAAAACCAUGAAGACAGGAGUUACGGGAGUUACUAGAAACUCCUCUCAAUCAUAAUCAUGAAGGUAGGAGUUACAAGAUUAAAGGCCUCGCCUGCCCGCCCGUCCGCUCAUUCGCUGCCUGCCUGUCUCGCCACGCCACGCCACGCCGUCUCUCGGUUAAAUUCCCAUACGGACCAUAGAGUUUAAUAGAUAUUAUUAAAUUAAUGGGCUAUGCCCAUAAUAUCCAACACAAUUAGCACCCUCAUUCACUUUUUUCCAUGUUCUAAAUCCUGCGUGGAUGAGUUACUGGACCGGAAGUAGGAUAUGUGUCCAUGUGAAAUUGAUAAGGGCCAUGCAUAAGGUAUACUUUACGAACUUAAUCUCUUUCAUUAGCAGGAUACUCCCAAAUUUGCUUACGUAAGCCCGGAUCUCGUUCAACUAUCAGAACACUGGCAUCAUCAAUUUCAGCAUUAACCGUUUGAACUUUUGGUGCUGGUUGUCUUGGUGCUUCUUCAGAAGUCCUCUGUUCAAGGGCUGGGAGCAUCGGCAGACCUCUGUUCUUCAGCAACAAUAGGAGAACUAUUUUGCCCCUGUCCAUGUCCAUUGCCAUCUCUAUCUGUCUUCUUGAAAAAAUAAUCAAUUGUCCUUUUAGGGGGCAUUAUUUCAUACCUAAAUUCUCAUAAGAAUACAAUGAUAAAGACUGAAUUAUAAGUUUGCACGAAUGACGGAUGAUUAUUGCAAAUUAGGCAGUUAGCAAUUGAAAAUAAUAGAAAUCGUACCAUAUAGUUUAUACUUACUUUGCGGCUGCUUGCCUGCUUGCACCUUGCACAGCACAGUUGCGCUUGCGCCUAUAGCUUGCUUACAAAGUCGCAGCGAUUCAGUGCUUGCUCAGGCUCGGUUGCUUGGUGCUCGGCGCUUGCUGUUGGCGGCCGCCGGCCAGACACGGUGACGAUGGCGAACACAGAGUUACAGAGAUCGCUUGUCUGCAGACUAUGAUCCGCUUCGCUUCUGAAUGAUUGAACGCUGAUUGGGAUUGCGCGCGGGGGACUGAAAGCGACACCGACACGAGUAGCGAGGCGCUGUCGUCGAUGUUAAUUUUGUCGCUGCGAGACGUCUACGGCCUUUCCGUAUUUUGUUAUUGGGCUGGGCCAUUAAAUCGUGGAGGAGUUCUAAAAUUUUUUGCCGCAUGGGCAGCGCGGCCUCGAAUGCUCCGAGCAGAACAGAUGCGGCAAUCUCAAUCGCUUUCCAUACCUUGUCCCAAAACCGUUGCCCGCUUUCUGCUCUAGGAAGAGGCACUGGUACUAGCUGCGGCAGCGGCGGCGGCGCCUGUGCAUCGGCUACACACGAAGCCAAAAACUAAGGCAGCAAGAACCAUGAAUCGAGCCAUGCUCACCUGCGAAUUUAGCUUUGUUCAGCCUUAUAGUUCAAUUUAUAGCCCACGAAUCCUCUCGUGACACUGCUUUUCAACCAGUGGCGGAGCCAGCGAAAUGAGAAGGGGGGGCAGUUUGGCCAGACAAGAUUCGAGGACUGGCAAAAUUUUGUCGCUGCGAGACGUCUACGGCCUUUUCGUAUUCUGUUAUUGGGCUGGGCCAUUGAAUCGCUGAGGAUGAGUUCUAAAUUUUUUUGCCGCAUGGGUGGCCACGGCCCCUGCUGGCACCCCCCAGCUCCGCCUCUGCCGUCAACGUCACCCAUGAAUACUUAGCUUGGAGAUGAGAUCACCUCACUAGGACGACGGAGGUGUAUUGCUUGGAUGAGGGACAAAUGGGAGCGUCCGUCGUCCGGCCGUGGCGCCGUGCAGCUCUUCUUCUCCCACGACGACGACAUGGGUUCUAACCUUAAUUUCCGCCACCGUACCCGUGAACGCCGGCGCCAGCCGCAAACUGCAUAAACUUAGAAGCUAAUAAACGUCCGUGCAGUCCAGGACGUGCUGGUAAUACCUCGCAUCAUCAUCAUCCAGGUGAGAUAUAUCACUCGGACACACAGUUUUGUGUGCCAGCAGAAGCUCAGAAGGAGAAAGGAAAUAUUAACAACCUAAUCUAAGCUCAAGCUGCAGCCAUAUUAUAAUAAUAAUCAGUUCCAAGUUUGCAAUCAGUAUCGAGGGCCGGCUAUAUAAUUUUGAGGGCCCUUAUACAAGCAAAAGGAUAAAGACCCAUCAAAUAUUUUUUUUAAUAUGUCAAAUAUAUAAAAUAUAUAGUACAACUAAAAAGAAUUAAUUUGCACCAUAUGUUUUAGUUUAUAAAAGGUAAUUAUAGUACAACAAAUAAAUAAGUAGAAUAGAAUUAGAAAUUUAGAACCUUAUCAUGGAAUACUAAUAACAAAAUUGGUAAAGUCUCGAUCAGUUAUGCCCUUAAUCUUCCUGCUCCAGUGUAUAUCGUGUGCGGACGUGUGGUGUUGUGUUAGCGUGUCAUGGAGUCACACUGUUGCAUUAGACGAUUGGGUAAUAGGACGAGAAGACGACAAAGAGGAACAUUGAUUUGCUCAACUAAUCGAUCAAGCGAGAAUAUGGAGCAACACUAGCAAUAGGUGGAUGUGGAUGACGUACUGAUUAAUGGAUUUCUUUUUUAGAUUAAUUGAUGGAUUUUUAUAGUGUCUAUAUAAGCCUCCAAAAAAUUAGAUAAAUCUAUAUACUAAGUAUUAUAUAUAUUAUAUAUAUAUUUAUAGGCCCCUUAGCGUCAUGGCCUCAGCCGUCGCACCGGCUGCCCACGCCCUAGAGACGGCCCUGUCAGUACCGCACCAGCAUUUAACAUGGAGAAUUACCAAGCAACGUCCGUCCUCGGCGUUGUCUCGGUUCAUUCAACGAUAUAAUUCCAGAAUUGAAGUUGGCGACGGUGUGUCGUCUCAACUCACCUCUCAAGAACCCGUGGGUGUGGCUCUCUUUGUUAUGAUGAUGCUAGGACACACGGCCAAUGGCAAGAAGAGCAGCAAGUUCGAGGACUCGGACAGUCGCAUGUCCAGGCCCAGGUAUUCGGCACCAUUAUAUUCUCGACCAAAUCUGCAUCCAUGCUCCGAUCGAUCCUAUUCCUAUCCAAGUUUUUCGUGGAUUGGUGAACUCGAUCGCAACAUCUAUGGUUCAGGGCCGUGUCAGAGCUGCCGCAGCGUCCAGCUCCAGCACAGCGUCUGAAGUCGUCGCCCUCGUCGUCGGGCACGGAGGCAAGCGGCGGCACGCGCACGCCGCGCCGCGCUCUCGGCGUGCGGGUGACGGCGGCGCCGCGCAGCCCGCUGCACGAGGCAAGGAUGUUCUUCUGAAGUUCUGAUCAGAUAUUCACAUGAACAGUACAAACACAAAACCGUACUUGCCGCCAAUGACUGACCUGGCGUUUGUUUUGUGUGCUGUUGGCUGUGGAUUUUUGUAGAAGAAGCCCGCCGCUGCUAGUGGUCGUGGUGCCGGCGCGGGGACACGGGUGGCGGAGCUGGAGGCGAAGCUGGAGAGGGCGCACGGCCAGCUCCAUGGGAUGCGGGAGCAGCUCGCGGUCACCGAGAAGGCCAGGAAGGACGCGCGCGCAGCGCUCGUGGAGGCCAAGAAGCGCUUGGCCGCAAAGAAGAAGGACGAUCUCGCCGCUUCGGCGCCGGUCGAGCACGAUGGCGGCAAGGAGCCAGCCGCCGCAGCCAAGGAUUCUGGUGUCGAUGAGCGUGACGACAACGAGGAGAAAAGCUACGUGGCGGCGGUAGUGCCGAGAGAUCACUCGGUGAACAACGAGGACCCGCCGGUGGUCGAGGAGGGCAACAAGACUAGUGAUGGGGAGGAGACGAGCAAUGUCGUUGACGAUGACGACGAUGGCAACAACAACAAGAAGGGCAGCCCGGAGGUUGAGACGCUGAGGGCGAAGCUGAUGGCGAAGGACAUGGAGGUGUACGAGCUCAGGGCGAAGCUGAUGGUGAUAGACACGGAGGUUGACGACCUGAGGUCCAAAGUGGUGGGCAAGAGCACGGAGAUCGACGAGCUGAAGGCGGCGCUGAUGGCGAGCGACGAGCUGGUCGACAAGCUGACGGCGAAUCUGCUGGUCAAAGACGCGGAGAUCGCGGCUCUCGAAGCCGACAACGCCGACCUCACCAAGAUGGCCGAAGAGGCCGCCGAGGCCGCGAAGUCGACGGCCGCGAUGGCGCGGGAGACCGAGCACGCGCUGAGGGAGAGCGCGGCGCGGGAGGCCCGGCUCGCCGAGCGGCUGCGGGUUUCGGAGCACGCCCGGGACGCGCUGGAGGCCAACGCGCAGCGCUUACGCGUGCAGAGCGAGCAGUGGCGCAAGGCCGCAGAGGAGGCCGCCGCGGUGCUAGCAGGUGGCAGCGGCGGCGCCGUGGACAAUGGCGGGUACGACAAACGGCGCCACUGGUCUGGCUCGGCCUGCGCUGGUGGUGGUGGGAGUGAAAGCAAUGCGGCGGCCAAGGACGACGACGAAGACGGAGCCAGUGGCAAGCGAAAGCCCGCGGGCGGCGCCAUGCGGGCGCUCAGCGACCUGUGGAAGAAGAAGGCGCAGAAGUGAUCUCGAAUUCAUUUUGCUCUUGUGUUCUGUUCUCUGCUAUUCCCCAAGGAUAACACCGUCGAGGUUAAUUUACUGGACUAUUUAUGUUGUCUUACUAAGGUAUAUUAAGAUUAAUUAGCCAAGAUGGUAUAUACCCAAAAUAAGCUCCGUGUUGUGUCUGUCGUGUCAUCGUGUGUUACGGGCUUACGGCUUACUGAUUGCCCAGUUCGACUUCUAAAUUAUGAGAAGAACAUUGCUGUGUGCCUGAGUGGUCCUGUACUUUUAAGUUCAAAACUCGUCAUAUAUGCUGGUCCUGUACACGAUGUUUGUUUGUUUCAGCAAAACGCAAGUCGGUUAGCUCUAGCCAACAGAUUAUUAUCUAUUUAUCUGAAGAAGCUAACCACUACGACAGAACCAUUGUCACAAAUGGUUCUAAACCCAUCGUCACAGAAUGUUUUUUUCCCGUCAUCGGUGAAGGUUGGUGUUGAUAAACAGAAACAAAAAAACCAAAAAGGGCGCAGGCCAAGCCCAUCAGCGAGCCUUGGAGCCCGUUGUUGAGCCCGGGUCCUUCUGUUUGACAGAAAAAUCACUUCAACAGAGAAGAGGCUACUGAAGUACACAAAAAUAAUAAACAAGAGGGAACACAUUUUAUACAUAUUUAAUAAAAAUGCAAAUAUAGGUCCCUUGCACAAAUGCGCUCCACAAGUAGCCUUACGAUGAUGAUCUAACUUGAACAAUGUGGCCUUUCGCUCCGAGGGCUUAUCCCUAUGAGUCAGGCUCACAGAGGAUCCCUACACGCAUAGGUUUAAGAGGUUGUACACAAUAUCUUGCUUGGUGUGUGCUUCUUUGUUUUUUUCUUGAGAUCAUUGGCAUGUUUUUCAUUAAGCAGAAGUAGAAAGUUUUGUUACAAAACCAAGUUACAAUAAUCAAAAGAUUCCCAAACCUAUAGCCCACACCUCUCACACUUCUCGCACGUGGUUGUGAUUACACAAGAAACUAGUUUGUGAGUAAGACAAGAACAUACCUUAGACCUCGUCCAUCCUGACCAUAUCCAAGUUCAUGACCAAUGGGUCAAAUUCCCCACCAAAAAGAAGCUGCAGCGCCUCUUAUAUGGAGACCGAUAAUGAUAUCUGGAAGGUUAAUUUGUACUUACACACCUGUUUUAGAGUCGACGUUAGGCGAGCUUGCUAUAACUCCCAGCUUCUGCAUGAGCAUGCACUGAGCCUGCUUGGUGGAGUUCGCCUCGCGUGGCUUCGCAGUGAGGCGUUCCCUGGGCCGCAGCGACUAAAUGGAGACUGGAGUCUUGGGCCUACGUAGCCUAGGCGGCCCGCGGACGAGGGACGUCUACAACGAAAGGCAAAGCCACACCUCCAACAUUCCAUGAAACGUAGGGGUACAGAAUCAAAAAUCUCGAACACUGGCCAACUCACAUCGUCAUUGCUCGAGGAGCCCCUGGCGUGCCUAGCAUCUCCAUUUCUCUAGGCGAAGUCAAGACUAGCUAGCCAUUGCUAGGAUCAUCGACCACAAUGGUAGCCACGUUUCCAUGGCAUGGCUCAACCAUAGUCACAUAAAACGGGUUUAUCACCUUUGAUCCUCGACCUAGGUUCGUCGACCCCGACCCGAAUUCAUGGGCUUAUUUUUGAUCUGAAGUGUAAAAAUCUCUCGCAAGUAUCGUACCACGUAUCACGAUCCCGUACCUCGACCCCAUCGACCCAGAAACUUUGUGACUAUGGGCUCAACAAGCAUAAUGAAAAGCUCAGCAAGACUCUUCACUUCUCUUGGUUCAACAAGCAUAAUCAAAAGCUCAGCAAGACUCUUCACUUCUCUAAAUUUUUAAUCUCCAUGCACAUCAGUAAUAAAGAGUUGAAGUUUACAAGAGAGGUGGUCUAACUCUCUUCUUGAGAAAUCAUUAGGAUAAUUAGAGCAAGCUUAACCAAAUUGGCUUUGUCGUAAGCAACAAAUGAGUCAGCAGGGACUGAAUUGUGCCAUGCAAAGAAGCAAAUCUAUGUAUACCUCAUUGAACCUGUCAUUAAGCUCUCAAAGUUGCCUACGAAUAAUACUUCAGAUUCCAAACAUGUCAACAUACGAGUGAUAAAUAUAUAUGAAUAUAUUAUGAUCGAUUUAUGUCUUCGAAGUUCGCUUUGUGCGGUUCCAUGUAAUAGAACUUAACUACAUCUCGUGCUGCCCUUUUAAGUGCACUAUGUUGAUGGAUCAGCAAGGAAGUUCUAACCACAAGGGUCGCAACACCUUGCAAAAAUGAUUGUGUAUACACAGAAAGCAUGCCGCUCAAUCAUUGGAAAUCGAAAUCACCUUAAUUAUUUAUUAUAAAUUAGCUUGUAAUAAGUAAUAGUAAUGUGUAAGAGUUUAAGCAUUUCUAACAGUUUUGCAUAUUGCUUUUGCAUUCUUGAUUUUUGUUAAAAUUCAUAGAAACACCUCUCCAACAGUUUUGCAUAUUGGUUUUGCAUUUUUGGAAACUUGGCAAAUUUCAGGGGAGGCUUGGCAUUUAUGCAAGUCCGUCCGCGACUUGGCAAACACCGAUCUGCCACGUCCCUCUACAUUGCCAUGGCGCACGCGGGCCUCGCCACCGCACUGCUCGUGCUCUACGUCCUCUACCUGCUGCUCGCCGACUUCCUCCACCCACUGCAGUAGGUGCUGCUUUGCUCCGUCCCGCUCCGCGAGACACAGCGCACGCUCGUCGCCUUCUGGGAGCCCCCGCUCGGCGGCGGCCUCAGCGCCGCACUACUCACACUGCCAGUCGCCGCGCUCCGGUCCUCGACCGCCACGCUCGCCGACGCGCGCGCUGCGCUCCUGCGCCGCCCACUCCCGAACUCGUCGACAUUCCCGUGCCUCCUCCGCUGGCUCGUCUCCUUCUUCUUCUUUCUCGUCCUCUUCGAGUGCCUCAACGCGAGUGGCGGCGGACUUCCUCAACGCGAGUGGCGGCCGACUUCCUGAACGCACGAAGAAAGCCCGCGAACGGACCGAGACCGCGCGUGAAAACUUUCGGCAGUUGAGUCCACAUUUUGGUAAAUGGCAAGUCAGAUUUGCAAAACUCUUGGAGAUAUCUUAUUUUUCUACUUUCCAUUUGCUUUCUGGAGUUGGCAAACUCCAACAAGUAAUAACAAAGAAAAAUUGCUAAACAGCUGGAGAUUCUCCCAAUAAAUUCCCACAGUAACCCAUCAAGGCCCUGGUGUCGAUGAGUGGCCCCAUGGGCAAAACCCUUACAAUAUAGGGGGUGAAGGGAUAGAUGGUGAUGGUUGGCACGGUGACAGUGUCGGCUCCAAACAUAUCACCUCUAGGCAGUGGUGGAACUUGACUGUGCGCGUGCAGCGAAGGGCGCGUUCUAGUAGUAGCUGGAUGCGCGUGUUCAAAGUGGUCGGUGAGCAUUCAUGUGUGAGACAAUAUGCAAACAUACUAUGUUUGAUGAAAUAAAACAAUAUAUUAAAUUAUGUAAAUAUAUAUAAUGUUACGAGAAAAUAACUUAAAUUAACUAUGAGAAAUAACAUAGCCCACUGCUGACUCUAUGAACAUUUAUCGUUAUCAUUAUUAGUCCACUUAUAUAGUAGUUAGCUCAUAAAUAGUUUCUAUUUCUCUUUUCUCUCCACUAUUCUAGAAAAAAAAAUUAUUUUCAAUUUUUACUGUACUUCUCUGAAGUGUAAAGCAUGUGGGCCGUACUCCGAUAUGGGUCCAUGUAAGUUUAUUAUUAUUGGAUUAAAAGGAGAAAGUUGAUAUUUAAGUUUUAUAAUAUUAUUAUUUUAUUAUGUGAUCUAUGUAUUUUAAAUAUAAAAUGUUAGCUAUUUCGUAGCAACUUAUGAGUAUGCUACCUAGUUGGAUUAAAAGGAGAAAGUUCAAUUAGGGAUUGUAGAUGCAUGCACGUCAAUGUUGAGGGGCCGUGUGGUUCAGCUUUUACCAGUUUGUAGCAGUACUGUAGCACAGCGGAUUCAGAGUUUGGUAGAACUAGAAAUUGUGGCUCUCAUUUUUCACUUUGGAAACCAAAAUAUUGGGAGGAGGAGCCGACCUGAAAUGAGGACGUCCAUCUGUGCACUGAACCACACAUGCCCAGCCCAGACAACUAUAAAUGGAAACGCAAAAAGGGACUGAACACAAGACCGCUUCAGGCCUUGUUUAGUUCCCAAAAAAUUUUGUAAAAUUUUUCAGAUUCCCCGUCACAUCGAAUCUUUAGACGCAUGCAUGGAGUAUUAAAUAUAGAUGAAAAUAAAAACUAAUUGCACAGUUUGGUCGAAAUUGACGAGACGAAUCUUUUGAGCCUAGUUAGUCCAUGAUUGGAUAAUUUUUGUCAAAUACAAACGAAAGUGCUACAGUGUCGAUUUUGCAAAAUUUUUUGGAACUAAACAAGGCCUCAACAAAGAUGGACAAAAACAAAACCUCCGGCCUUGCUAGAUUUGGGCAGAUAACAUGCGCCGUUGCCAUAUUUGGAUAGCUCUCUGCAUCAAAAAUUUGCCCCAAACGAAACAACCGUAGCACUCCAAUUCAUUACGUCAGUACGAGAAACAGUGAAAAGAUCACAUACCAUAUAUAGAAAGCACUCAUAACAUGGACACAGCAUCAAGCCCAGAGGGCCAAUACAACAAAGCUCUCUCUAGCCAGUACCACAUAGUUACUGUACACUUGACAUUGGCACCAAGAAAUCCAACAGAACAGAUCAUCCAAUCCAACCCUACCGACCUACUCCUACAUUGCAAGCCGUACGUCCAGCUAGCCAUUGUUCCUGGUCCAUGAAAGCAAUCAGUGCUAGCUCCUGGUGGCCUCCAGUGAUCUCCGGGGGCAUGAGCCCGAGCAGAGAGGUGUUGUUGGUGUCGAUGGCAGAAGCAUCUGCGUCUGCGUACGAACCAACCAUCUCUCGACAGCGGUGUGGGUGACUAUCACUGGAUGCGGAAGGGGUCCAGGCGGUUGUCUCCGAGGCGCGAUCGGUAGGCAGCCUUCUUGUAGUCGCCCCAUGUGAAGUCCCUGUACAAGCUCUGCUCGCCGUGCCCCAGCACCUGCGGCAAUGGCGCGAUCCGCUGCGCCGGCGCCGGUCCCGCGAAGUAGAUCAUGGACACCCGCGGCUUCAGGCUGUUGGCCACCACCCGGUGCCGCACACUUUUCAGCCUCCCAUUCGUCAGGACCUAUCGAUCGCAGCACGUACACAUCUGUCAAUUCAUUGCCUGCGCCUGCAUGCUGUCGUCGCCGUCUCGGCGCGGCCGGCGUGCGUGCGUUGCGUACGACGUACGACCCCACCCAUCACCCAUGCAUGCAUGCCCAAAAUGAAUUAAAUGUAACGUAGUACGGGUUGUUAUAUUACCUGCAGCGAGUCGCCGACGAUGACGAAGAAGGCGUCGCGGUCGGGCGGCACGGGCACCCACCGCCCCCCGUCGUCGUGGAGCGCGACCUGCAGGCCGGCCGUGCCGUUGGAGCGCAGCACGGACACCAGCUGCGGGUCCGUGUGCUCGCCGAAGCCGGUGACGCCGCACGAGUCCGGCAGGCGCUGCAGCAGCGGGCACGCCGGGUAGUGGUUGAUCCGGAACACCUGGUCGCUCGCCGCGUCCGUCACCAUGCCGCUCAGCGCGUCCCUCGGCGCCACGCCCAGCCCCUCCGCCACCGCCUCCAGCACCGACGUCGCCAGUCCCCGCACGGCGGCGACGUACUGGUUUACCGCGUCCCUGCACGCACGCACACACGGAGUAUACCUACCCAUCGUUAGAAUAGAACCGCACGCACGCGCCAAGGCAAUAAUAAUAAUGGCUCCACUGACACUAAUUGUCUGAUGUGGGCUGAUUGAUUGAUUGAUUGGUUACCGCACCGCAGCGAGGAUGACGGGACAGGGGAGGCCUUGGACACCGAGGAGGCGCCGUCGAGGGCGAGGAGGAGGUACUCGAGCCACCCCAUGUCGCCAUUGCGGCCGAUGCGCUUGUUCCCGUACCCGAGCGGGUUGGCGGGGCCGCACGCGUCCUUGUCCGCCUGCGGCGACGCGAAGAACCUGACGGCCUCGGCCUCCAGCCGAUCCACGACGCCCGUUGGCACGCCGUGGUUCACCACCUUGAAGAAGCCGAACCGCUCGCACGCGUCCACCACGGCCAGAGCCGCGCCGGGGCUGGACAGGUCGACGGCCGGCACGCCGAAGAAGGACGCCGCGUCCCCGGGCUGCGGGCAUCGAAGCAGGGAGAUUUGGUCGAGCGCCGGCGGUGGCUUCGCGAGGACGACCAUUGCCAAAUGCCAAGAAGCAGAGCAAUGUACCCCGUAGCUAGCCGGACCGAAGCUCUACCACACUGGUCACUCUCACUGCUCGAGCUCGAGUGCAUGUGGCGAACGAAGGCUUCAUGGCUCGUAUAUAUAUAUAGCUAGGGAGGGAAGGACAGGGCGACUGCAGCAGCGGGGCGGGGCCCCACGCGGUGAUACGAAACGAGCGGGGAGGGAGCGAACGACGUUGGUUAGGGCUGUUCAACGUCGUCCUCGUCCCCCACCUUUUCCUGUCUGGUUUCUUGCAUCGUGUUUCUGAACUUUUUAUCCCUCUCGGGGCCUUCUGAGCGCGGCAGAUCCGGCGAGCUUGAUUCGUGGGUGGCAGUAGCGUGCUACAGCCCCGGGGGGAAGACGCGACGUGUCCCGACGUGAUCCGCCGGUGCAGUGGGGUCGGAGAGCGAAGGUGAUAAGUGUCCGGGUGCUCUCAGAUAAUGUUUCUGUUGAUGGAUUCCUGCAAGGGCCAAGGGUACAAUGACGAGGCGGCCUCCAUCAGUAUAGGAUCAUCAGAGAGCUUUCUGAAUGAGCGAGCAGUGUGCAUGCAGUGGUUUGGGCACUCUAAUUAAUGAUUGCCGCGCUUCACAAUUCACAUAAGCUCGGCCCUUAAUUGCUGAAGAAAGUCUUACUUAAGACUUAUCCACCACUCUACAACUGUAUACUUAACUUUGUUCGAUUAUCCAAAAUAAUAACUUAUCUUACUCUCCUACGAGACGUUGCUCCUUUUCUUUUUUGCAGAUUAUUAAUUAUUAUAAGAACAAAAAGCUAGAGGAUCAGAGAGGAGAAACAAGAAUGGAGAGCUUUGAAGAUUUACCGUCUUUUUUCUCCUCUUCGUGCUAUGACAUUGAAGAUUAUUUAGCCCUGUAAGGGGUUUUUUCUUACGCUACCGCCUCCUCCAAAGACCACUGCCAUAGGCUUCUUCAGCAUCACUACUAUGGAUCCCCUCAUCCUCCUCGUGCAGCGAUCUCGUCGGCGGUGAGAAGGACCAGGACUCUCUGACAUCCAGUCUAAUUGAAUUAGUUAGGGUUUGGAUUGAAUAAAUUAUAUCUCAUAGAUUUUCACAUGGUAUUUUCUUCGUUGAUUUCUUGUCAGAUCUUGUUUCUUGUAGAGGACUCCAUGUUUAGACAUUCAACGUGACAUUCUUCAUGUUGUUUUUAUUUUUACAGAGUUGAUGCGGUUGUUGGCAAUUGCCAUGUUUCCCAUUUACAUCUUUGUGUUACAACCUCACUAAGGUAUGAUCUCUUGAUAGACAGGAAGUUAUUCGAACUUCCACAUUUGUCAUGAUUGGUAUUAGUGGUGCUAGAUUGAUGGUCACUUGAUCAUAUUUGAUGACAAGGUGGUUCAUGCUCUUUAAAUAGUAAUAACGGAACUAGGAGUUCUUUGACCCAAGGAAGCAAACAGGGGGAGGGGAUGAAUUGGGUCUUUGAAAACCUAAACAUAUAGGACUUUCUUGAUCUAUAUUUUUUUAAAAAAUCAUAAACUAAAUGUGCACCUCAUGUUUUUCUAUGUGUUCUACCUACCCAACCCUAAAGAGUUUACAAACUAGAGCCAAAAUAUAUCAAUAGUCUAGGACAACCUAGGAAAGAUAAAGAUCAUACAAGUCAAGCACAAUGUGGUAAGUGAAGAGCAAAUCAGGAGAGGACAAACUCCUAAGGAUGAGAUGUGUCAUGUGGUAUUGGUUACCCAAAACACAUCAAGCCUUCCCCCAAUCAUGCUGUUGAGGUCACCACGAAGGCUUGUGCAACCAAGGCAAGUGAUGCAUUCCACCAAGGCUCACCACUAUCGCUUGCCUCUUCUAGCCACCUUGGCGCUAUUGACUACAAAGCUUAUCCACCAUGAAGGUAUCUCCUCAGUCUCUAUACAACAAGGGGCCAUUGCACUUGCCACACACCAAGCUCGAAAGGUCAACAUCACAAGGUUAUCAAGAUUCUUGUUAGAAGGCCAGUAAGACUCCCAGUGCUCUGGCUCAACAAGAUUGUAAGGGCACAACAACCAAAACACUCAAACUCUUUUUAAUGACCAAACUUGGAGCAACAAUAAUGGACUCCCUAACCACCUUCUCAAGAAAGUGCAACACCAACAAUAUGGAUCAUCAUUAGAGAGCAAUCUCAUCUCAUGUGUCUUAUCUAGCUAGGCGGUGAACUACCUCCAUUGUAAUUACCAAUUGGACCUUAGGAGUAGGAAGUUCCUCCAACUAAGAUGUGGCACAAGAAAGUUGGACAAGGAGGUGCCCAAAGGAGUCUUCAUGAUGACAUAGGCAUCUGUCCCAACAUCCGGUAGUUAUUGGCGGCAUUAGAGAAGAAUGUAUGCAAGUAGAGUUGGUAGUGGGUGCGACUAACAGAUGAUCUAUCAUAGAUCAAGAUCUAGGUGAAGUGACUUCUAGCAAGUAGCCAUCCACCUUGGGUUUGGAGAUGACAAGUAGAGAAUCAUGCGACGAGCGUGAUGAUCCAGGGUGUAACAUCGUGUGGAACUUGGAGUUGGAGGUGGUCAUGGACUCAUGGAGCCACUAGUGGUGGGGAGACCUCAGAUUUAUAGCUUGGGGUCCAUCCAAUGAGAAACAAGCUACGCUAGAUGGAACCUCAGCUACAAUAGCAAUUGCAAUAGUAAUGGGAACCAAAGAUUGAAAAAUGGUGCUAGAGAAUGGCAACUUGGGAGCUCCUUAAGGUAAGGGGAGCGGUGGCAGUGACCAAUCAAGUAUUGCAAAAGCAAAUAGUGGCAGGCUAGCUUUAGUGACAAAGAGGCAAGAGAGUAUGUUGUUGGUAGAGAAAAUCCUAGGCAGAUUGUCUUGCGCUUCGCCUAUUAGGACCUCACCCAUCCCAAAUUGAGCAGCUUCAAUGAUUAGAUUCUGAGGUCCAUGUAAUGUUGUUUGGUGUGGAUGCGGAUGUGAAAACACCUGAAAGAUUCAACAUCUGUAGUUGUUUUAGUGUCAAUAUGGAUAUCCAUAUCCGCAUUUGAUUUUAAUAUAGAUAAAAUGUGGAUGUAUUCAUAUUAUUUUUUAUGAUUUUUCUCUAUCUGGACAUUCGUAUUUGAAAAAUGUAAAAUAUCUAAUAUCAAGGCCGGCUAAAACUUAAAUCUAUGACUAGUUAGUAAUGUAAAUGAUAUCAACUUUAAUAUAACAAAUGACCACUAAAAACUUAUCUAUGUGGUUAAUAACAUUAUAUAUUUUGUUAUUGUUAAUGACAUAUAAAGGCUUGUUUAAUAUGGUUAAUCAUAUUAACUUUAAGUACUUUAGCAAUUCAUGUAUUGCUGAAACUAUUUAUAUAUAUAUAUAUUUUAAACUAUUUAUUGAUAAAUAUUAUUUAUAGUUUUAUUGAUUUUGAUAUAUUUAUCUAUUAAAAUAUAUUUAUUACAUAUGUUGGUUUUUAUGAUUUGUGGUUAUCCACAUGUGUUAUAUAAUCAUAUUAUUCUCUACAUGCGUAAUGAUUUUAUUUUAAUAAAAUUGUCAACAAGUAAAUAUAUAUGUGUUGUUAUCAAAAUCUAGUAGAUAUCCAAAUGCAAAUCUGAGAUAUUCGUUUUACAUUCAUAUCCAAUAAUACCAUAUUUGUAUCUGAAUUUGAAUUAAAAUAUGUUAAAUACUCCUUUACAACUUUGAUUCCAUACGGAGCCAGUCUGAUCCAUCCUUAAAUCUCGUUGUAGAGGAUCUGGCAGGCGAGCGUCAAUGGAACCUAAGACACCGUUCAAGUUAAAAAUGAGUUGUUCAGGAUACUAUUUAUUAGAAGUCAUAAUCUUCCAAGUUUGAGGACUGUUUCGUCAAUUUGAAAGUUUAUUAAGCCCUCAAUCUUAAAUUUCUCUGUGCUCUUUCUUCCUCAAAGAUAGAUUUCGCCAAGUGGCUACACACACGGGGUAACGUUCUUUUCUUUUUUUUUUGGAAGAAAGAGGCUAAAGAUUGUUGACAAGUCAUGCUACUAAGGGUAGAGCUUGAAAAACUGGCCAACGCUAAUAUAAAGUUGUUAGUGUCAACUCAAAAUCAUAUAGUUACAGUAUACUGGCAGUAACGUCUGAGAUGACGUUGUUUCACCAAUCAAAGCAACAACAAAAUGACAAAUUUGUCGGCCAACUAAACGACCAAUCGGGUACGAUCGGCUAUACCUUUCAAAUUAAACUUGAGUAUGGUGCACACAUCAAUCAGAUUUACAAGUGCUUUAGGGCACUCACAAUGCAGACUUUAUUAUGGAGUCUAAAGUUAUUUAUUACCUCGAAUAAUGUGGACUUGGAGUCUAAAUAAGACUUGGAGUCUUAUUUUUUCUACCUCUUUCUUCAAUAAAUAUGCUGCCACAUCAGCAAAAUACCAUAAAUAAUAUGUAAUUAAUUGUCUUAGACUCUGUGAUAGAGUCUUGCAUUGGGAGUGCCCUUAGGCCAGUCUCAGUGGCCCGUUUCAGUGCACUGUUUUGAAAAUAAAUCCGCUGACAGAGUAUUAAUGAAACGAAUAAUGAAACAACCUCCACAAUGCAUGAGUUUCACCUUGACGUUUCCUAGGCUGGGCAAAACAUUUAAUUAUUGUAAAAUGAUUUGAUCACAUGCAAGAUGGUGAAACAAUUUAGCCCUCAGUGAGGAUUUCAUCCCGUUUCACCGCGUGGGAAACAACGCCAGCGGGGUUUCACCAUGGUGAAACUACUUCCUUCUCUCUCCUCUUCGUUUCAUGCAAAAAGUGUAAUUUUGCUGACAUGACACUCUAAUAAAUAUGCAUGACAUCCUGGUGAAACCUCCACUAAGACUGGCCUUAGAACAUCCAACGAGACAAGUUACGCUGCAUGUUUUUACCCAUUUCUUUGCUAAUAACUAUAUUAAUAUAUAACAUAUUACUAUAAAAUUUAUUAAAUUAUAGUUGGCCUAUAGUACAAGUGGUUAUCUAGAUUAAAAAUUUCGAAGUUAGAGCAUCUUCAUCCAAUUGAGUAAAACUAAUCCCCUUUCCUUAAAACCAGCAACAAAGGAUAUUGAAACAAAAAAAAUGAUCCAUCAUAUCUCUUUUCAAUCCUUUUUUUUCCUCAAUCUCCCACGUUCCCAACUCAAACCCUCAAAUGAAGGGGAACAACCACCGGUUUUCGUCAACCCCUUUCUUUCUCCUCAUCUUACUGACAUUGCAGGUUCUCUGCAUUGCCACCGCAAGCACGCAGGUCACCGCGGCGCCAUCGUGCCAGGCGGAUGAGCACGCGUGCCAACCAUGCUAAUCGAGCUUGGGGGUGUUGUGAUACCUUGUCGGGCGAGCUUGGGGUGAUGCCACCACUCAGGGUGGACAAGUGCUUUGGCUGACCGCUGUUGUCGUGCCGACGAGUGAUUGAGUGCGCGAGCAACCGUACUUUUGUUGUCCGUGCACCGGCAAGGAGGGAGGAAGAGGAAAGAGAAUAGAGGAGAGGAAUUGGAGGAGUUACCACAGACAUAUAGAGGAGAGGAAUUGCGAGUGUUGAAAGAGUUUUUUCUAUCAUGAAUUAUGUGAAGAACAAAUUGAGAAAUAAGAUUGGGGAUCAAUACUUGAAUGAUUGCUUGGUUACAUUUAUUGAGCGGGAGUUCUUUCUACAAGUUAAGGACAAGGACAUCAUCAACCGCUUCCAAACCAUGAAGAGUCGCAGGAUUAAAGCAACAUUAUAAUUUUUUGUAAGUUUUUUUAUUAGUUAUCAGUUUGAUUCAUGCAUAAUUUAGUGUUGAUUCGCUGAACAAUUUAUUAUUAGAUUGUUCUUGUGACUUCAGUUCGAUGGGAAUACCAAGUUUUGGUUCUAGGCUCCGCCACUACAUAUAGGUGGUCUCACAUAAAUAAAGAGGAUGCAUCUUCUCAUCCUGCUGCAUGCUGCAGAAGCUCUCCCCUAUAACCUAUAAAUCAGUUUUCUUAAUGCCCUUAUAGAUGAUUUUUAAGGGAAACAUGAGCUGGUGGAGAUGCUCUUAGGUCAGCUCUAAUGGUGACUUAUGACUUAUGAUUAAGAGCUAGUCUUCACACGUUUUAAGAGUGAGGAAGUUAUGUGAGACUAUUCAUGUUGCGAGUUAUUACUCCGUAUGUGAUAAAAGUUAGUAUCUUUGGAGAAGUUGCAUUACUGGCUCAUUUUAUUAUCGAUGAUGCCAUUAUACUCCUGUAGUACACGAUAAUCUAUGGCUAAUAGUAACAGGAGUACGUUAAGAACUCUUGUUUUGUUGGUGUUUUGCACGUGAAUGCGAUCUGCCGGGCAACUCCCAUUUGGGGAACCCGGGGAAGUGUUGGUGGACUAGUGGUGCUCUGCACAAAAAGUUCUCGCGCGUUCUGAGAAAUAAUUCCGCGCGCGUGCGUCCGUCGAGCGCUGGUCCAUCCCGACUUCCCGAGGUCGCGGCUUCACCGCACGCACACUCUCUCCCGCCGUCCUUGCCUGCCCUGCCGACUAGGCAGGCGCCACCAUGGCAGAGCACGUUCGCGGGCAGCAGAUCGAUUCUCCUAUUCCAGCACGCGACACACGCGCGGCAACACAGAAAGCGGACGCGCGGUCGAACGCGGCACGCACGGCGGAUAAAGAGAUAAGCCUCGACAACCUGAAGUGAUCUAGCGCUGAUGCGGCCGGGUGCGGGCAGCUCCGGCGGUGGUCGGCAGCUCGAUCGAUCACGAUCAGCAUCGGCGCGCGGCUGCUUUUUCUGUGGGGGCGGGGCGGAGGAGCUAGAGGAGGAGCCGGCAUGGGGCAUCCGGAAUCGCGCGGCCGCCGCCGUCACGCGACGGGAUCGGUAUCCAUGCACUGUGCGGGGAGGCUCGCGUGCGCGGUUGCGUUCGACCGGCGACGUGGCCGCGGGAUCCGUUGCACAAAUGGUAUCGGGACUGUGAGCAAAAGGGGUUCCUGAAUAGCAGAGGAUCGAUGCCCUCCAGCAGUCCAGCGCUCCAGGGAUUGUGCGUAGAAGGGGCACCUCACAGGAUGUCCGAGCCCUACUGCAGUCUGCAGGCCGGUGAAGCGACGGGAUAGCGCGCCAGCGAUAGAUCAUAGAUGUCGGAGCGGUCGGGAAGCAGUUUACGAUCGGGCUGUGAAGAAGGGACAAACUCGAAGUCGGCAGGAGAGUGCUUUCCUGUUCCUGGUGCAUGCUCUCACUCCGGCAAAUCUACCCGGCCCGUCGUUUCGGCAAAUCUACUUGUAGGGGUUAUGAUACCUCGGGUAUAUCAAGACAGUGAUAAGUUAGUCACUCGGGCGACCUAUGGUACACAAGCCUGUAUAAGCCCAAACGACUGAGGCCAAGCUAAGUCAUGUGAACUUAGGCCAAGCACUAAGGUGAGGGCCAACCACGACCUUUCCCCUGCCUUCACUGCAUGUCACACGAUCCCUCAUGACCUCUCCUCCAUUCCGACCCCUAGGAAGAACAAGGAGAGAUCAAGCUUAGCCAAGUGUGCCUGCUCUGACAAGAGUAGGCAGACCACACUGACCUCACAAGGACCAAGGGGACAGUAGUCCCCUCAGCCCGGUUAGACGCCAUCCCUAUGCCACGUAGCACAGACAAGACAACACCGCUAGUGAGGGUGAUCAGUAUGGUGCCCACCAUCCGAAAAUGGCUCGAUGAGAUGGUCACACGGUCCUACCCACUACGAGAUGGGGCUUAUGAUUGUGAACUUGUCCUCCAAGCUAACAUAGGCCAUAGUGCCAAAGCUCGAGAUCAUGGCCAUUGACACCACACAUAGCAAGGCAACCAACGACUAGGGUGGCUACCAACUCCUAUAUGAUGCCCCCGUGAGAACAGGAGGAGAUGAGAAAGGCCACAAUGAAGACCACGUCGCACAGAUGGUUUGCAAGACACCAUCAUGCCUAUAGUGCCACCACAACUGGCAUAGUAGCACCACACCAUGCCAUGCCAUGGACAUAAGACAAUGAUGAUGACCAUGCCCAGACGUGCAUUGCAAGAUGGUGUCACUUGCAAGCCAAGCUAGCUAGGUUCCCUCCCUUAGGCUCACGACCCCUCGGUUAGGAAAACCUCCUUCUUUGUAUGUGACUUGGUUCCAAUUAGCAUUUCUUGGGUAUUGAAUACAAUUAGAGGGUCUCGAGUAUUGUGGUGACUUCAAGUGUUGGGCUCAUGGGCAAUGAUGCCCUCUCAAAUUCUGAGAUUCACUCGGGUAACGUAGAGAUGACUGUUGCACAUCAUUAAAUCUUGUUGAAAAUAAGGAUCAAAGUGCAUGGAACCUUGUGCUUUUACUUCAUGAAACACUUUUGGUGACUGCAUCCAUCUUAAAUGCUAACCACCAUCUCCCCCACUACCAUCCUCAGGGUGCUUAUUUAAGCCAAGGGGAGGGAGGCCAAUGAGUCUCUCCUCUCAUCUCCCCUAAAUCCAUUAGCAUUAGACUGAGUGAGGAAGUGGCAACCCUUCUUCAUGCGCCAUGAUUCACGAUGCCUCUCAACGGUUUCAUUGUCGUUGGGAGAAGGCUUUCAAGAUUGGAUUCUACAGCGUCCUGCUCAUGGUCAUUUAUCUUGGGUGUUAGAGGAAGUCCCACGAAGAUGAGGAGGAACAACAUUCAUGAUUGUAUCAGGAGAAAGAAGAACUGGAGUACGUAUAAGACCUUAGAAAACAUCUACCACAAUGCCUAACUCAGGCGAUUACAAAUGGGAGCUAGACCAGGUUUAGAGAACAACAGUAUCUGACAAAAAUCGAUAAAACAAAUGUCGGCCUAAGUACCAAAACAUGAAUGCACUGUAAGAAACAUAGCAAGCUCUCAGCACAUAGGAACUUCAACGAUUGCGAAAUGCAAAAUCCAGCCACCAUCCCUUCUUAGUCCUCCUAACUAUCCUUCUCCUCUUCUAUCAUCAGGCGUUUGACGCUUCUUGGAUUUCAUCUUGUCCAACAUCUUCAUGAUGAUUUCCAGCAUUUUGUUGACCCUAGCAAUUAAGACCUCCUUAUCAUUCUCUAGAAAGAGUCAUGUCCAAUAACUCAUGAGCGAACAUACAUAAGAGAUAAUAGUAAUGGGGCUAGUUAUAACAUGCCCUUCAAAGCACACUAUGUUUCCUCUUUUUCAAAUUGCCAAGCAAACUGCGGCAAUCCACACAGCAUGACAUGUAUCACUUACAAGCAGGCAAUCAUUUGUUACACCAAUCCCAAUACUUCUUUUUGUGAUCAAAAGUUAAUUGAAUCUUAAGAAAUAUCCUUACAAGAGAGUGAGACAACCCACUCUGGAAACAAGCAAAAGAACACUGAGACAUCCUAGACUUAAUGGCAAAUUGUGCCAACUCAUGCGCCAACACAUUCUGGUCCCUACUGAUCUUGAUCACUUUUAGACGGUUCAAUUGAUCACCAACUUCUCGCAUCUCCUCGAUAAUUUGCCACAGCUGUGAACAAUCGCGCCCAUUGCCUGAAGCUUGGACACCACCGACUGACAACCAGACUCAAGGAUCAUCGUUAUUCCAGGCCAUCUAAGUGCCAUGUGGACACCCUUCAAACAUGCUUUAGCUUCAGCUUCUUCUGCAUCCCUACAAUGGAAAAUGAUGCGCCAAACAAUUAGUUGCAACACUCGCUUCUAAUCACAAAUCACCACAGCCACCAUAGUAGCUUUCCCGCCCAAUUAACUGAAAGCGGCAUCAACAUUAAUCUUGAGAUAACCCUGGAAAAGUGGCUUCUAACAUUUUACCCUUAGCGGGCAAGACUUCCUAGUGCCACUAUUCGCCUAAACGGCUAUUUAGACCAUUUAAACACCAUGUAAACGCUACACAAUGGUACGCCGUUUCGGUUUAAUCAUUUGUUUAGCCCGUUUAAUUAGCUGUUUAGCCCGUUGAAUAGACUAUUUAGCUUGGCUAAAUGGCAGGUGACCGACUGUUUACCAUUUAGUGUUCAGAAAAACAUAAAGUGCAAAGUGCCUCCUGUAAUGUCCAGACUAUGCUUCCCCUUCGGAUCCUCAACCUCCCCCAGUUGCCGGAUAUUCAAUAGUGAAUGCAGAUCAAGAGAUUUUGGAAUAUGAACGAGGCUCUGUUAAACCCGAGUAACAGCACCGCUGAUAACCUCGACACCGUUCCAGCUCAAUGGUACAAUUUUCUAAACCAUUAUGGUGUAUAUUGAUUUUAAGAAUAGCACGUUCUAUUUAAUUUCUACUGUAAUCGUGCGUAUUACCUCUGUUAUGAACUUAUGAUUUAUAUUCAGAAUAUAAUCUUGCAAAUACCCUGCCGAAUUUGACUGGGAACAUAAACCUACUAUGAUGUCGUAGUGAUCUAGCAUUGACGGGCUAGCAAACAUAUUUCACGUUAGGCCGAGAGCAAGUGUGCAAGCAAUGCCUGCAGGCCAUUGGAGUCAGAAACUUGAAGCGUCAUCAUGACGGUUUUUUGACGGAACAGGGGUUUCCCCCGUUGUGAACAAGUCCCUAUUAUAAAUCUAUUAUAAAUCUAGGGUCUUGAUUCAAAAAAAUUAACUCUAACCCACCUUCUACUUGGGCUCCCAUUUUCUAUGUCAUCCUAAAUUAUAGUUUCAACUCCUCACAUCUAGAACCCCCUAUCCUACUUGUUUAGGAGGUGGGUUGGAGUUGAGUCUUAAUUUGAGCUCCUACUUUUUUUUAUCAUAGCAUGUAAAUAAAAAUUUAAGAGAUUAAUUUAGGGAUUUGGGUUGGAAUUGCUCUUAGGAAACCACUCUAGUCUUCCGGGCCUGCUUUUUGCUGAAUGAUCCGGAUCUUACGCGGCACGAGUCCAUAGAGCGUCUUGUGCCGGAAAGAGCCCGUGACAUUUUUUCUAGCAUGGUGGCCAGCUCCAUCAGCGCACGUAGUGAAAACCAUAUAGCUUAGCUUGGUACAAUGGUACGCCAGCUGCGUGGCUGCGUGCAUAUCCUGCGGGGUUCUGGAUAAUUUUAACGUUAUUUUUUUGAAUGCGAUUGAUGCGAACGGCGGCACAGUUUUUUUAGAUAAUGGAUAUAAAAUCCGGCCUCUACAUCGGAGGAUGUACACAGCCCAAAACGGCGGCACAGUUGUUGAGUUAGUCUUGGUACUAUACUUAAAACAGAACUUUCUUGGAGCUUUAAUGCUGCUAAGCUUAGAUAUAUAUAACUGAUUCAGCUAUCAUUCUUCUUAGAACCAGCAGGCGAGUUGCAUAUCUCCUUUCAAUUUCAGUAUGAUAGAUUCUGGGCUUAUUCGACUGCCGCUGCAGCUAUACUGACAUUUUUUGGUUUGCUCCUGACCGGAGCUGCCGGGCGCAUGUGGGCUCCCUCGGAUGCCUGGAGUCAAGAUUGGAUGCCUGGCAGGCAUAUCUAUCUGGCAGGCACCAACCAAACAGGCUAAAUUGAUCUCUGCAGCAGGUCGUGGAGCCAAAAUAUGUGUAGUGUAGCCGAUCAGCUUGCAACGUGGCCUGAAAGAGCAAUCGCUCUAGAUUAUAUAUACACCAUAUAUAGAAGGAUUCAUACGGCAAUUAGAAUGGCAAAGAAAAUAUAGAUGGCAACACUUUCUACUAUUAUUCUCUUUGUUUUAAAUUGUAAGUUAUUUUGACUUUUUCCUCGAAUAUACAAAAGAUUUGUGCAUCAUUAUCAUUAACAUACAAGAAGUUUAAACAUACAAAUUAAACGGCUUGCUUUACCCCCCCCCCCCUAGGUGGUCUAGAGUUACAGUAGAAAACCGGAUAGUUUCUAGGUUUAUGUUAAGCUAUGCGGUCUAAGUCGAGCCCUUGCAUCAUCGCUGCUGGUUGCGAGACCCUAGUAUUUGACGUUGGAAGCGUUUGACCCGGUGUUGAAAAACUCCUCUUAGGUCUUCUUUUGUGAUGUGCUUGGUGUUGAAAGCCCUUGGUCAUAUUUAUAUGCUGCAUGAUUACGACUUCACCUCUUUUCGACGCUAACACCAAAGAGAGGCUAUGUUCCACUAGACGUUUGCUUUGCAACGGGAGUACUGACUGGUUAGUGGCUGUCAAUUGCAUGGGAGGCUAUCAUAUGAGAGUUCACCUUGCGAAGCACUCGCUCGGUGAAGCUCUUGAAGCGCUAGGCGGCGGAGGAAUAGUCCUCCUCGGCUCCUCAGUGGUGUAUACUGGUGCACAGAACCAGCGUCAACCAAAGACAAGGCCGGCCUAUAGCCUAGUGGAGGCGCCUCUAGUAGAGUAUCCUGGGCUGAGCCUUACCCUAGCUCUGGCGACAGUGAAGGUGAGUCUGCUGCCCAUUAAGUGGGGCACCGGGGGAUGCUCAUGGCUACCGUCUUCAUCAAGAGAGCGUUUGCACAACAUCCAAAGUUCUUUUGACCAACUAAAGUGGUGCGCUAGACCGAUACCUGCUACCUCUCCGAAAGAGUGCAGGUGCAUGCAUUGGUGGUCUCCAUCGAGACUUCAUCAUGCAGGGAAGCUGCUGCGAGAGCUAGAGGCAGAGGCCCAUGGUCCAGGUGGCAUUGACGCUACUACAGAACAGGCCUUUGGUCACUUGCCCAAAAUGAACAAUAAUCUCGGCCAAAACAGAGUCCGGGACAAAAACAUAUUUAGUCCCGGUUGUUCUCACCAACCGGGACAAAAGCCAAGCCUUUAGUGAGGUGGCGAGCUCUUCCAGCAUCAGGUCGCGAUAUCUCGAUCGACCCGUCUUGCUUUCGGGCUCAUCAAUGGGUUAGGCCCAAAAAAGGUCCUUCUGGGUCUAAACUUGAGGGUCAGUUCGUCGUGGCUAACGCAUGUCACGACUAUGACAAAGACAUCGACUAGGGUUAGAUACAUAUCUUUUGGUAUAAAUCUAGAUAUAUAUUAGGUGUAGAUAUAAAACAAUAAACAUAUAUUUAAAAGCGCUGAUGCGCCCCACCUGCUGAUCAACCAAGUGUACUUCGGCCAUGACUACUACCUUGUGAAUGAUUUACCUUUCGAAACAAAGGGUACAAACUAUGGAGCCUCCUCUGCUACGUGAUGGUUGUCAUCAAAAUUGUCGCGUGCUCGCAAAUUGAAAUUUGUUAUCACAAUCAGCUGGUAGUGGCAACCGGUAUUGAUCCCUUCAAAACUCUGAAAAGUGGCCAAUUUGUCUUCAUUGAGAUUUGAGAUCACAUUCAGCCAUAUAUGCAGCGUUUGACGCCUGAAAGUCUGAAGAUCCACAUCCAUAAAGAUGAGCUGCUUUUUCUCAAGUUCGAGAGCGCGCACUACUGCAGAAGGCUAUGCAUCUCUCGCAUUUGCAAGCACCGCAACUCUUAUCUCUCUGUAUGAAACGCGUGUCAUUUCACACAUAUUUAAGCACAAUUAUUCGUCUGACCUCUCUCUUUCUAUUUUUUACAAUUCAGGGGGCGGUCAAAUGGAACGCAGUGCACGACUACAAGCUCAAGUUGUGAUUUUUGUGAUUUGUGAAUCCCGGCCGGAUAACACUUAAUAGCACCAAGUGAUGAAUCUUCAGAAGAUAGCUCUCACACGACUGAAAAGACACGCACUGAGACUCACAUUGGACGUUAGUUCAAACCAAAAAAAAAAGACACAUUGGACUGAUCCAAUCGGGUGGAUCACAGGAACAUUUAACCUAAAAAGGUUGUGCCCAGUGACUAGGUUAGCUUAUCCGAGCAUCAUCGAUCUUUGAUUAGACCUGCAUGACCUACCGAGGGGUUAUUAAGUGGUUAAAGACGGUGCAAAUUAAUAAAACUUUUCGAGAGGCCUUUCAAUUCGUUGCUUGGGUAACCGCGUUGUAGGUAAUAUAGGUGCUUUGUUUAGAGCAUCUCCAGCACUACUAUCUAAAACACACUAUCUAUUUUUCUAUUUGGAUAACCACCUAUUUUCAUACUACCUAUAUUUUGCUCCCAACUCCAACAACACUACCUAAAUCAGACUACCCAGAUUAAUCCUAACGAGAAUGAUGUGUGGAUCCCAUAUGUCAUCCUCUUCCUUGUCUCUUUGUCAUAGACAUACUCGGCCAUGGCAGGGAGGGGGAGGGGCGCAUUGGACGGAGUCGCAUAGCAUUGCCGCGGCCAUGGCGGGGAGACACGCUUGUGGGGGAGGGGCGCAUUGGAUGGGGAGGGCCGCCAGAGUCGCACGGGAACCUCACGGCCAUGGCAGGACGGGCGCCGUCAUGCAUCUAUACGGGGGUAGCAAGCCACGCCAGGGCAGCGGAACAUGGGGAUGUUGCGCCGUCGUGUGUCCGCGGGGGCAGCAGGCUGCGUCGGGGCAGGGAAAGGCGGGGAUGCCAGGCGGCUCGCCGAGAUGGUGGUGUGAGGGCUCACCGGAGAUAGGAGGGGAUGGUGGGGGAGGUCCAAGGAAGAUGCAGCACGUCGGUGGUGGCCGGAUUCGGCGAUGGCUCCCUGGGGAGGACCGGCGGCGGCACCCCAGAGGCGCUCCUUGUACUGGCGUCGUGUGGCCUCGGGUGCUUUCGAGUAUCUGCAGGAUGAAAAAGACAAAGGGAAUUUUAGGUAGUGGAAGGAGAAAUUUAUUGAGCCAAUAAAAAUAGAUAGUCUAAUAGGUAGCUUAUUGGAGACGUUUUUUUACUUCCACUACCAAAAUUUAGGAUAGAUAGCGAGGUUAGGUAGCUGGAGAUGCUCUUAGCGAGUAAGGUUUAAGGAUUCUUCUAUCUACCUAGCUUAGAUGCAUGUCUCCGUAGUGGAUAGGGGAUGCGGAGUAGAGGCUACUAGUUUCCUGAAUAUCUCGUUAUAUGGUCCAAGUCGCAUAGUACGUAGUGUACAAUAUGUCUGUUUUUUUAAGAUCCAGAACAUAGCCGAUAUAUAUUAUAUUAAUAAGGCAGUGAGAGAAUUACAUGCGUAAUAAGCAACGUAAACAGCUUCCUAGGUUUGACACACUGUCAAUCUUGAUGAAAAGAACUAAACGAAUUACUUACAUUUUCGGGGUACAACAAGAGACCAUAACAACUUGACCUCCAAAAACAACCUAUCUGCUGCUUUCUAACUCACCAAACUAACUAUACCAACUAUUUUCUUCCGACACCUAGAACUCACUGACCCAACUAACACAUGUGCAACCCAUUGGAAAAACAACAUGAUUCCGAACUGAAACACACCAAAUCUGCUCAAUUGGGGGACUUAGAUUAUAGCCAUCCCAACAAACCAACUACUUCUAAAACACAGCAUAUAUACAGGUGGGACCUAAUUUGCCUGAUGUGGCACUGACUGCUCCUCGAAUAAUCGUACAAUGCCUGAGCAGCAUCAUGGGACCUCCAUCUCGCCCACCCCCAACUCUGCUGCCAUUGCAGCUAGGGCCUUGGAGAGCUUCUUGUUGCCCAUCUUCGUCACAACCCUUAUUGCCUUGAUCGCCUGCUCAGGAGGUCCUGUCCAAAAAUGUCAACGAACUCCAAGACUACUUGUAUUCGGCACGCUCAUGCAUAUAUAAGCUUGCAUUGGGCGUGCUGUGCCACCGACACAGGGCGGGAUCGACCAAACGGAGGCUGGAGUGGGUGGGAGCUAGUGUCCUGCGUCCAUUCUGAAUCAGUGGUCCAACUUGCAAAGCGACUAGUUGGCAUAUACUACUAUAGUACUCCUUCCGUUCCAAAUUAUAAGUUAUUCUAAAAAUCUUGAAGAGUCAAAGUAUUUUUAAGUUUAACCAAAAAUAUAGAGAAAAAUAUAAAAAUUUAUGUCAUAAAAUAGGUACACUAUGAAAAUAUAACUAACAAAGAAUCUAAUGAUACUUGGUUGGUACCAAAAAUAUUAUUAUUUUGCUAUAUAAAUUUGGUCAAACUUAAAAAACUUUGACUCUCCAAGAUUCUUAAAAUGACUUAUAAUUUGGGACGGAGGGAGUACUAAGUUUUCGGAUUUAAUAAGACUUUGCUCAUUAUUUUUUAAAUUAAAUUAUACAAAUUAACAAAUAUCAAGAUCUAUAAAUAAAUAAUGCUAAAUGUUUAAUCUCGCAUGUAAUACGUGUGAGUCUUAGGAGUCAAAUCUCACAUAUAUAGCUAUAAAUAAAGGGUAAUAUCAAAAGACAAUGCAUAAAUUAUAUAACGUACUUAGUAUAAAAGAGAUAACCUUUGAUAGCAAACAACAGAUAGACAACUUCAAACUUCGAGUAUUAACUUCACUCUACGGGAUCGACUGGUUGAUCACAAGCCUAAACUCCUCUUGAGGUGUGGGGGAAAAUAGCAAGAGUGAGUCCAUGUCGAACUCCACGAGUAUAGCAACUAGAUUGUAUAGAUCCCACAAUCUCAUGAUCAAUGUGACAAAUAAUGUAAAGCAUUAAACAAUAAGUAAUGAGUAUCUUAACACAACAAGAAUCAUCACCCUUAAUGUAAGAAUCCCCAAGGCCGCUCCUGACCGUGAGCUCGACUAGUAUACUAGUUUUAACACUCUGCAGAGGUUGUACAUCUUUACCCAUGAGUCAUGAUUUACCCUUUCGCCCGAGAGAGCUAAUCUCUUAACCCCCUUCCUAGGGAGGUCGGCACGAAUCACUAUGAAGCCUUUCAAAAGUUCGUCCAACAUGUUAGGGCCACAAGGUUUCCCGGGCGCGCAGAUAUAGUUACCCUUCCAAAUGGCACAAUGACGCGCAACCUAUACACAUAGGGACAGAGGCUCGCACUAUACCCGUGUCGGUUAAGCCCCUCUAGCGUCCUUUCGGGUAACCUCUAAUAAGCUAGAAAAGGUCUUCAUACUGAGCUAAAGCCAGAGCUAUUGUAGCCCUCAUGGUUGCACUGUUGUCCCGGUUAUCACUUACAGAUCAAUCAUCAAGUGGAUAAAAAGCCAUUUUUAUCGUUUGUUGCUUAAACAUUAAUCAAGUCACAAGAUCAUGGUCAUAGAAAUAAAACCCAAAAGCUAUACUUGCCUUAAUCCAAUUGCUCUUGCUUAUCCUUUUGGUUUUGUUGGUCUUACUUGUUGCCAAAGCUCUGAUCUUGAUCACCAAAAACUCCUCUCCGACUAAACUCGAUCAUCGAUCAUCAAUACACAAACAACCGGAGACAAAUAUACACGAAGCAAACAAGGCUACAAUUAGAACAGUACACCAAUCAUAUAAAAACAGUAUGAAAAGUUUAUAAAAUGAUUCUACGCAUCGCUACGAUCACACGAACGUAAAGAUCAUGAAAAUCAGAGUUAAAACAAAGAAGAUAUGGAUUUUCUAAGAUUUUCUAUAGAGAAAUAAUUAAUUAAUUAGGGUCACAAAAUUAAAAAGUUUCAAACUGAGUAAAUAAUUUUACUAACAUGUAGAGCUCAUUAAUACGAAUCCAAAGCAAUUUGAAUGGGUCAAAAUGGAAUUAAAAUGAGUAUUUUAUGGGUAAAACAAACUCAGUGGCAAUUUUGUAAAUACAGAAAACAUAUUUUAAUUCAAACCGACAGACUUUAUGUUUUAAUAAAGAGAAAGCGUAUUUACUAAAACGUGCUUUGGACCGCGGGUUCCAUUUGGAAAAACUUCAAGGGCUCUUUAGAAAAAUCUACCCCCGAAGGGGUAUCUUUCUUUCCUGUCCCUUGAUCUCGGAUCCGACGGCUGAGAAACGUUUCACGGAGAGGGAGAGAGAGUGCCGGCCGACCACAGUAACUCCGUUCGGUGGCGCCAUGGCCGGGAGUGUUGGAGCUCGCGGGAGUCCGUGGUUAAAACGAUUUAGCGCAUCAUUCAACGAACCGAGGACAUGGGGACGAAGACAAGAAGAUCGCGAGCUCACCCGAGCACUUUCCACGAUCGGGGAGCGCUCAGAGUGGUCCGGUGAUGGGAGAUGGCGGCAACGAGCUUCUGCAAAUGUUCGGCGACGGUUAGCAUGACACAGAACGCGAGAGAGAAAGGAAGGAAGGGUUCGGUGGCUUCGCAGACCUUGAACGAAGCUUGGCAAGGGCUAGGACUCGCCCGAACGGCUGCAAAACGCGAUUUCCUCGGCCACGGUUGAGUUGAGCCCGACGGCGAGAUCCAGAUCAAGAACAUCGGCGUUAUAGAUGGCUUUGCAUCGUGUGCAGGGGAAAAGGGGGGCGCACAGAAGAGCCUGAGGCUUUAUAGGGGCUUGGUUUGGCUAUUAGGGAAAAGAAAUCCUGAGAAUCCGCGACCGGCUGCCUCCUGGAAGUGUCCCGGUCGGCCAUGGUGAGGAAGAAAGGUAGGAGAGAGAGGAGACCGACGUGUGAGUCUAGGUGGUCAGUGAGAGAGACCGAGGCCGACUCGUCAUACACAGAGAAAGAGAGAGGGCGCGGGGGGGGGGGGGGGGGGGAGAACUGGGCCGCGCCCUGGGCUGAAACGAGGGGGAGGCGCGCUGGCCCGAGGGGGCGCUGAGUCUGCGGGGAGGAGAACAGGCUGCGGCGGGGGGGGGGGGGGGGGGACUAGGCCUUCAGGCCAAGAGGGAGAGAAGGGGGAGGUUUUGUUUCUUCUUUUUUUUUCUUUUGAUGAAAACAUAUUUCAAAUCCAUUUUAAAAUCUAUUUGAAAUAUUUUCAAACUUUGGUCAAAAUCACUCAUCUCAAAAAUAAAAUGCACCAGCAUGAUUUACACACAAUUGUUGCUAAGCCUUAUGAUAAAUUUUAUUUUAAAGAAAAAUAUUAUUUUUCCUACGUUCCAUGAGCACAAAAAUAAAAAAUUAAAUUAUUUUUCAUCUAUUUCCAAAAGAGAAAAAUUUAGGGUGUUACAUCGCAUAAGAAAUGGAUGGCCAUUUUGGUCUUCAUUAUUGUGAGGUUGAGAAAUGCACAAGCUAUAGGAACGCUCUGAACUAAGAUAUAUAUACGGAGUAUGUCUUCAUUAUUCUAAUUUAACCCUUUUUCAUCAAACUCAUAUUUAUACUUCUACACGCUAAAGAAUUAUCUUUAGACCCUGAGCUCGAUGCCAUAGCCUACUGUGUCGAGGUAACAUAUAUGUCAUGGUGCCAUUUGUCAUGGCGUCAAGGUUGGAGAUCAGGGCUGUCGUGGCUGGUGACAUGGCGCUGAUGUAGCCUGAACCGCGGCACAUAGCGCUAAGUUCUCAUGACCUAAACAACAUAAAAUCUUACCAUGCAUGAAUUGAAAGGGAGCGUAUGCUACGGAAACCAGCUUCGUAUGCAAACUAUGCAAACUCUCAUCAGGAGCGUAGGAUGAUCAUCCGAUGGUUAGAGGCAAUUGUGGGAUAUUUUUCACUUAAACCCCCCACUCAUUCUAUCCUAAUUAAUUCUUUUGCAAAUCAACUCCCUGAAACCCAGCAGAACCCAUGCCGCCGUCACACGCGCGAGGAACACCGUCGCCCCGUCACCUACGCGCGAGGAACGCCGCUCCUGUUCGCCCGGUUCGCAUACACGCCGUCGGCAGCAGUAAUGGCAGCAGCAACACUUCUCAAAAAAAAUGGCAGCAUAAUGGCAGUAGCAAUACGACAAUUCAUCUUAGUACAAAAACAAUUCAUCUCCCGGCCGUCGGAAACCAUCACAAUGAGGGCUUCAAGAUGAUCCAUGACGGCGUCCAGGCAGCAGUGGGCGGAAGCGGCGUUCGUUCACGCUGCCCUGGCUGGCAAGCAGCGCGGCCGACAGGAGGCGGCUGUGGGCUCCGCUGCGAGGGUUCUCUUCUACCCGAUGCUGCUGUACAACGUGGUGCGGGAUCCAGGCCGAGUUCCGGUGGUGGGACAAGAUCGAUCAGGUUCGUUACUGGUUCUUUCUCCUCUCUCCUCUCUAAUAGUCUCGUGAGCGAGAGAUAGGAUUAAGGUUUUGAGUUGAGAAUAUGGUAGGGUCACGGUGUUUCCAUGGGAGGGCUUCUGGGGUUUAAUUUGCAAAAGGAGAGAUUAGGGAGGGAUGAGUGGGAGGAGUUAAUUGCUAAUCUCUAACACAUUAGCUCUAUCCAUCGGAUCUAGAUCUAACGAUUCACGUGCGAGUUUCUAUAGUUUUCACGACAAGCUGGUUUCCGUAGUAUACGCUUCCGAAUUGAAAUGGCUAUUAUUGGUGAGCUACGCGCGCGCUGCAGAUGCUCUCAGAUAAUCCCGCUCGCCCGUGGUCGUGCCAGGCCGGUCGUGCUUUUUGUUGUGCUAGCUUGUGCGGCGGCGGCGGCGGCUAUAGGCCACAGCCACGCACCUUUCCAUGCCGACGGAUGGGCUGAAAAAGGCGCUUCCGAUAUGGCGAUAUGGAUAUGCAUGGAUCGAACGAUGAGGUCAUUCUCUCGGAGAGCAAGAGAUGAUUAUCAUGCAAGGAGUAAUUAACAUCUACCUCUGCCUUAAUUUUGACAGAAUUAUUGAACAUCCAAAUCUCAGUGCUACACAGCCCGUAAGCUAAGCCCAGGGCAAGAAACGCAUAUGCGCCGAGCCGCCAACUCGAGGCGAACUUAUAUAUGGCCGUGGGCGGCGACGAUGAGGACGUGAAAUAAGCCUUGCCUGCUCCUCGUUAUUAUUAUUAAAAUUUAGUGACGCAGACCAUCGACUAAGAAACACAAAAAGCGUACUAAUCCGAAGCAGAUGAUGCCCAUCCACAUCAUCCACACAAGUUUAAGUCGUUUCCACGUAAGCAGGCAAAAGGCGCGCCAUGCAUGCACCUAUCUAGGCACGUACGAGGCCUCUAUAUAAGACCUGUGUUCUGAAUCGUAAAUCUUGCACAGGAACGAUAGCUAGCUAACUCGAGUACACUAGCUUGAGCUGAAAAAUCGAGGCAGAAAUUAAACAUGGCAAGAACCGGCGCGAGGCAACUUCUCUGCGUCGGGCUGCUGCUCACCGCCGUCGUGCUCGUGCAGCACACCUGUUCGGCCCGUCUGCUGCAGCGAGAGGUGCCGGCGGCGGCGGCGGAGGAGGGUUCAGCUGGCGGCCUCCUGCACGCGGCCGCCGUGCAGGUUCACGUGGAUGCCGGCGCGGCGGCGUUUGCCAACGACGACGGCGCGGCGCAAGAUCAGGGAGGUGACGCCGCCGCCGGCAUCGCCGUGCCAUACGAGAAUAAGCGUCUGAGCCCCGGAGGCCCAGAUCCCCAGCAUCACUAACAACGGUAGCCUGAUCAUUAUAUAUCAACGCAAAUCGAUCGUUUCGUUCAGUUCAGUCACCUCACUGAUCCAGCAAGAAUUGAAAGAAAAGUUCAUAGAGUAUGGGCUCGUUUGCAGCUUCUUUUUAUUUUAAAGAUAAAGAAAUAAGAAGAUGUGUCAAAAUCCUCUGGCCUCUACAUUACAGUACGAGUUAUAAUUGCGAGACGUCCCAACGUAUGUAUCCUUGGAUUGUACUGAAUGAUUACUGGUAUGAUAUUACAUUUCCUGUUUAUUUUCCACCGUAUGUAUGUCUGAACAUGGAUAGACCAGUUCACUGUUUUGGGGGGUGGGGGCACUGGUACAGCAGAUCUGCGCUUGCACCAUGCAACUCAUCAAUAACCUUUUAUCGCCAU